rnacentral:lncRNA from 1 species
CGCACCACCACCUCCAUCUCCACUGCACACCUCACUGCACCAUAACACCACCAACACACAUAGUUAAAUUGACCGCAUAAUUCCACCUCCACUGCACACCGCAUGCCACCACUACCACCACAAUCGCACCAUACACCACCACCACAUCAACAAAUAGCCAUGACUGAAAAUCCACCAUUACAACACCCACACACCGUCGACCAACACAAUACAAUCACCAACACCACUUCAACACCCAAAACCACCACUAGAUUUCUCUACUACAGAGAAUAAAUUCACCACCACAACCGCCACCACAAAAAUCUCCAUCACCAAUUCACCACCAGGUCCACCACCACACAAAACACCAUCCAAUCCACCACCAACUUCAUUGGAAUUAUGUAAUUAUCUUCAACUCAAAUCUUUGAGCAUAGAUAAUCACACAACUGCCAGAUUCACCACCACACAAACACUACAUAACAUCACACACAAAACACAAUCCAAACCCAUCCCGACCACCAGAUCCGAUUCGCCGCUACCAUCGUCAUUAAUUUCACCACCGCAACUCACGGUGAUUCGCGAAAGGUUGGAUCUUCGUCAUGACAUCUCCUCUUCAUUACAGCAGCACUGACAACGGUGCUCCGGGUGGUGGUCCUGAAGGAGAAAAAUUCAGAUCGAGUUACUGUGCUUUUGCCUGAGUGAGUCGGUGAACAAUCAUCACCAUGAGUACGGUAGUGGAUUGUUGAUGUGGGUGGUGGUCCAACAGUGGACGGUGGUCUCCGAUGACAAGCGUUCCUCAACCCGAUGGCAGUUAACGGAUAGGGUAGCGAGAGAGAGGGGAGAGAAUGGAAAGAAGGAAAAUGAUUUUUAGCCUAUUUAGGGUUUGUAGAUAUAUAUUUGUAAUUAUUAAUUUCAUACCUGAAUUUUGAUUAAAUGAUCUUUGCACCUGACUUUUGCAUAAGGAAGUUUAAAUACCUGUAUUUGUGUAAUUUCCACAAAAUCUUAGCUUGGUUCUUCACGACUCAUCUUUGGGUCGAGCCAAGUUGAUUCGUCUCGAGUUGUAAGAUUUAGUAUGAUAAUAAUAUUUUCAGGCGGAAAAAAAUGAAUGAUAAAAUGGCAAAAUGAUAAAAGUAAAUAAAAAUAGUAACACGUGAAAUUUAAAUGUUAUUGUCACGGGACAUUUACAAAUCAAAUACCAAGUUAAUAAUUUAAGAGUGCGAAAUUUGAAAUAUAGCUUUGAAAAUUCUUAGUUCAAAUCAACUAGCCCACUUUAGGGAAUAGGUGACGGUCAAAAUUGUUGACUUAAAUUGUUUAGAUUAAUUUUACGAUUGACACAUACCAGAAGGUGGCUGCAAAGUACAGGCGGCGAAUUAAAAUUCGCCCUAAGAUAGACGUUUCCUUCACGUAUUUAAAGUAAUUAAUUGUUUAGGAAGUUUCAACUAUGUAGUGCAUGACAGGCAAAGUUUGAUUAUUUUUAUUUAUAUUUAUAAGUUGAGGACUUUACUAAAUGAGUUUUAUAAGUACUCACUUUUUGAAUCACAUUUCGUCAAUUUAUAUUAAUAACUAUUAAAAAUUUAAUUUUUUAACUAAAUUAAACAAGAACUUAAUGUAAUAAAUAGAAUACAUUUUGUUUCAACAAUCAAUAAGAGUGCACCAUCGAAUAUGGUAACGUAGUGUAUCUAUUCCAUGAACGUGUCUAUCGCGGUACGUAGAAUAAUGCCAUUUUAUCAGAUGAAUUUGACAUCUUGGAUGACAGAUGAAAGUAAGGAAACAAGUGAUUGAUGCAAGAAAUUUCAUUUUUUUUUUUAAAAAUCGACCAAUGAUGGAAUGCCACGUGAGUAGGUAGCAUAUCUAUUUGGUUAUGUAGCAAGGUUGUAGGACAUAUAUAGGUGCCAACUUUUCUUACAAAAGUGACUCGAUAUGAUUCUUUAACGUGAUUGAACUUGAUAGUAACAGAGAUUGAGACUUGUUUCUGUAAUCUAUAAUAUAUAUUAAAAGUCAUGCGAUGCGCAAAUUAUUUUUCGGAUGAUUAUAUCUUAACUAUAUUUAAACAAUUUAUGGACCACCAUUUCAUCACAUUCAGUUAAUUAUAUAUUUUCAAGAGUGUUUAAUUAAUUUAAGAAUGUCUAAAUCAAUUUUCAAGAUCUUGUGUGUAUAUACGGACAUUAAGCCCAUGUUUGGUACAAAUUAAAAUUUAGAUUUUAAUUUAAGUCAAAGUCAACAAUCAAUUUAAUUUUAAUCUCCAUCGAAACUAAACUAUCUUCAUAUUUCUAAAUUAAUAAUGUAUUUGUUUGUUACUAAUUAAUUAAUGUACAUUUUUCAAUACACAUCAUCAAUGACUUUCGCAACUAUUUAAAAUUUUAUUCGUCAAUUUUAUUUGGAACGUAUUUAACAGACUUUUUCUUUCAAAGAUUUUCCUUUUUGUGUAUAAUUAAAAAUUCUAUAUGUUUCUUUAGGAGGGCUAUUAUUUGUCUACACGAAGCAAAGGUAGUGCGAUACAUUCAGCGUGUGUUUGAGUUACGUUAUUUUGAAAUAGUAUAUUGAUGAAAAAUGUAUGAUUAAAAAUUGAGGAAAAUUUUUGAAUUUGUGUGUAAUAUUAUUUUAUUGAAAAAUGUAUGGUUCAAAUGAUGUCAAAUCACUAUUUAAAAAUGUAUUUUUUGAAAGAAUACGGUUCAAACAAGUCCUCAAACUUCAAAACAGCUUCAGAAUCCCCUCCUACUCUUCGAGUGCUGGUAUAUUACUUUAUUUUCAAGGGGAAAAAAAUGAAAAAGAAUUUUUUUUCCCCAUAUUUUUGUAAUUGGUUUUCUUUUUUCCUCGUGGUUAUCCUUAAUUUAUUAAGAUUCAUAUUAAUUAUCUAUGUCUUUUGGUUUGCCUAUUUAUUUAUUUAUUUGGUUUACUAUAUGUAAUCAUUUUUAUUGCUUGACACGAUUGAAAAUUUACUACAAUGCCUUGAACUCGAAAAUUUCAGCUUUGUUGGAGUUGGAGAAGCAUUAUUUUCGUCGAAGAUACUGGUGGUAAUGAUAGAGGGCGGUUAAUUAAAUGGUAUUGGUGCUGGAAAAGUUGCGUGUGGGUUUGAUGAUUUGGGAAUAUGGAAUAACUUUUUCCUUUUGCUUUUACACAUUUGUCUUUUCCGUAGACUUUUUUUGAAUUUUUUUUAAUAAGUGCCACAAUAUUAUAUAUUUGUGCAAUUUAAUAACAUAUCAAAUUCCAUCUAGAUAGAUUUGGAAAUUUGAUUUUUGUUAAUUUGAUACUUCAUUUACAAAUAUACUUAUUUAUUUAUAUCAACAAUGUAUAGAUACAAUACAAUUAUCUUCUUUAUGUUGACGUGAUAUCUAAAAAUAAUAUUCUAACACUAAUAAAAAAUAAUAAUAAUGUGCGUCGCACAUAUAAGUACGACGAAGUACAGCAAAAAUAACUCACAUAUUCUCGACUAUAGAAUGUACAUGGUUAACUUUUAGCGAAAUCAAAAAAGGUCAUAUUCCCGAUUAUAGAAUAUACAUUAAUGUCUUGUCCGCCUCUCGAAAUAUAAUCCAGUAGUAUAAAGGGCAGGAGGGGAUUAUUUCUGGCAGUCGCAGUGUGAGCGUUCGAUUCUUAAAACAUGGAAUUGGACUUCUUAUAGGUACAAUGUACAAAUAGCUCUUGUUUUCUGAUCUAUUGAAAUACAUUCCCCAAUUUACCUUCUUCACAAAAUUCCAAUGACGGGACGAUCGAUCUCAAGGUUGGGCUUCAACCUUUUUUUUACAUUAAUGUCUUGUCCAUACACUUCCAAGAUCCGACCUUUUCUUACUUCCGGGACCCUGUAAACGCAAAGGUACUAUUAAAGAUGAUGCAUUAAAUCAAGAUCGACUGCAUUUUUCUUUCCUUAUAAUAUUAAUCCAUCCACCAGAAGCUUGGAAAUGCUGUCAACAAGCGCUUUUGUUUCAUGGAUUCUUGUAUUGAGUUGUUUCAGCUUGCUGAAUUUUGCUGUGCCACAACAGGUGCCUAAAGAAGAAGGUAAGAAGCUGAGUUUUUGCUCCUGUUUCAUGAAUAUGCAGUUAUCUUAUAGUGCACCCGAAGAAAAUUGAAGAUCUCUCAUUAUUUUGUUUAUUUAUUAACUUUGUUUUUUCGUUUAUUUGCUCAAUAACUUAAAGUGAUAUGUGCAAAUUAUCAGCUAAGCGAUUUUCUUCAAACUCAAGAGGCAUAUAUUGGGUAUUUAGGCAGAUUUUAGUAUCUGAUUGGUUUAAGUUUCAGUGUGGUUCUUUAGUAAAUCUUUUCUACGUUUUUGCCAUUAUUUUGGGGUUAGUAUCCUCAGUUACUGUUUUGUUCUCACUUCUUUCUAAUACAUAUAUGUUUUGUGCUGAAUACAAUAAUGGCAUGCUUGGUAUGUCAUGGAGGAUUACACUAGAAUAUAUUAAGGAUAAAAAAGAAGCUACAGUCUUGUUAUAUAUACCGUCUUGCUGCUCCUGCAUACCAAAUACAGUCUUAGUGUAUAUUUUGUAUAAUUGACAAGUUUUAGCUUCUUUUUUGUAUUCCUUAUGAAACAUGCUGUAAGAGUAUGUUUAGAUGCUGAACAGAGCAUGAUUAACUAAGAUUUUAUGCUGUCAUAUUCAUUUCUGCAUACUAAACAUAUGAUUAGGGAGCUUUAUGCAAUAUAGCAUUUUUUUAAAAUUUUUUUGGAUACUAAUAUGCAUUGAUAUCUGUUAGUGGAUGCGCUGCAACAAAUUGUCACUGCAAUGGGUGCAAAAUUCUGGAAAUUUAAUGCCCAUUUAUGUGAUGUUGAACUGGUUGGGGUUACACAAAUUGCUCCAAGCGGAUCUGAGAGUUAUGUUGAUUGUGACUGCAACUAUGAAAACAACACAGUCUGCCAUGUCACAAAAAUGUUAGUAUCCUUAUCCCUUCUUUUAUUAUUUCCCAAAAAUUUAAUUUCCCAUGGAAGCCAUAUGGUUUAGAGUUCUGUUCCUCCCGAUCAAGAGUCUUGUCACUUAAGAUAUAUAUAAUGUAUAUAUUUCAAUGAUGUUUCCAUGUAAUUAUUAAUGUUUUGUGGAAAGAAUGUGAUAUCUAUACGUUAUUAGUACUAUAUUAACGUCAUAACUGGUGUAUAUCAGUGAAUAAAUAGCUCCAUAUACUUAUUUCUAUAUUGAUGGAACCGUUGUCUCGAUGCUAAUGUCCACGUUCCACAUUAUACAGUGUGCUAAAGAGUUAUAAUCUUCCAGGGAUUCUUUCACCUGCAAUUGUGAAGCUUCCGUACCUCCGAGAUAUGUAAGAACCUGUCAUUUCCAGCUUCAUAUUUGUUUUUUUGACACAUGCCAUGACUUUGUCAUGGAUGAGCAUCAGCUGCUGAAUUUAAUUUAUAUUUCAUUCAACUCUCAGUGAUUUUGCUUACAACCUCCUCACCGGGACAAUACCAACUGAAUGGGCUUCAACACAGUUGAAUUCCGUGUAUGCUCCAUUGUUGAUUCGUGUAUGUAUUCUAGUAGUUAUUCAUUUAUUUUGGCACCACUAAGUACAGAAUUUUGAUGCAGCUCUCUUCUUGUGAACCGGUUAUCAGGGAAAUUACCAAAGGAACUGGGAAAUGUUACUACCCUCACGUACAUGUAUGUCUUUAAGUAUAUGAUAUGUUAUUUGUUUUCUGAAAUAGAUUUGCUGAUUGAAAUCUAGUUGUUAAAUAAAAGUUAUAAGGAGUUUUGAAUUUUUGAAAAAAUGGACGAAAGUAAGAGAAGAAAACAGCAAUAAAUGAAUAAUUUCUUAUUCACACUUUUUCCUUCUCCAUCUUCUUUUAUUCAAUAGAUCGACAUGGUAACAGAGCAAACAGAGGUUCAGGGUUUAAAUUUCACUGUCACAUGUGCUAGGCCUUUAACAAAAAAAUGUAUUUAGCUGGAACAGUUUUUUCCUUCUCUAACAAUUUAGGCUUCUACAAUGAGAUGUUACAAACAAAAAGGGCUUCUUUGUCUUCUUAUUAUUGUUGAAAUAAAGGAUGAUUUAUUGUCCUAUUCUGCAUGUCAUUUUACCAGGAAUCUUGAAGUCAACCAAUUUUCAGGCUCUGUUCCUUCUGAACUUGGGAAGUUGAUAAACUUGAAGACUCUGUAAGAUCCCUCCUUUCUUUGUUAUGCACCGCACCACAUGCUUUAAAUCUCACAUGCGACUCCCAAUGGAUGAGACAAAAUCUGAUUAUUUCAGUCUGCAUUGGUUAUGAAUAACAGGAUAUUGUCCUCCAAUCAAUUUACUGGAAACUUGCCAACGUCUUUUUCGGAACUGAUAAACUUAGAUGACUUGUAAGCAUGAACACUAUGUCUUCAAUUUAUUGUUUAGAAAUUUGUUGAUAUAUUAAUGAAGGCCCCUAUUACAAUGCAGUAGGAUAAAUGAUAACAAUUUCAGUGGACCGAUACCUGAAUUUAUUCAGAACUGGAAACGGCUAACGCGUUUGUAAGAUCAUUACAUACCUAAAAGUGCUUUUGAAGAUAUGAUAGAUAAUUUUUUUUCGCAAUUAUUUUGUAUAACAUUUAUUUGUUUUAUCCACAUUGAAGAGAAAUGCAUGCGAGUGGAUUAAAGGGACCGAUUCCCUCAAGCAUAUCUUUUCUGACUAUGUUAACCAUCUUGUAAGUAGAACCUCCAUAAGAUUUGCAUUGGCCUCAGUUUUUUAUUUUUAUAGUUGGUUUUUCCGUAUCAGUUUACUAGGUAUUUUUCAUGUCGUAAUUUUCUUAUACAGGAGAAUUAGUGACAUAAACGGGCCAACUCAGGGAUUUCCUUUGCUGCGGAGCAUGACAAGCAUAGUAAUUCUGUAUGCUGAACAAUUAUGCAUAUUGAGAUUAUUUAAUUUUUUGUUUCUUAACCGUAAACUAAUGAGAUAAAUUCACUCUUGAUUUAGGGUGUUAAGAAACUGUAACAUUUCUGGCCAAAUUCCUGCAUAUAUAUGGAAAAUUCGGGUUCUACAGAUGUUGUAAGUAUCCAAGUAUCAGUUUAAAACGAUCAUUUAGCUGCUUAUUUACAUGAUUCUAGGGUUACUUACUGGCUGCACGUUGGUCAAUAUUUCUCUGUCCAGCUACUUAGUUCUUCAUUCUGCCUUCAGUAUUUGAGUAAAUGUCUGGACUUUGUUCAAGGGAAACUGUAUUUGGGUAUUAUUCUCCUAUUAUACUCUUUGACAGAUGAUAUACUUCUGUUUCAAAUGUUCAUGGGUUUUGUCCCGAAGUUGAUUGUCGUGCCAUAAUUGAAACAUGAUAUGGGGGACUUGAUAUGCAACCAUAGUUAUGAAAUAAUUCCCCGGAGCACUCAGAAAUGAAUAGACCAAAUAGAAAUGUAUACGCAAUGAAAAAACUAUGUUAUCACGUCUUUAAAUAAAUAUUUUGUUAACUUCAAUUGAUAUGCAGUUCUGUUAAUAACACAGCAGAAUUUGAUCGUACUGAAAUAAUGUGUUUGCAUGAUUCAGUAAGUUCAGAUAUUGGGUAACUAACUACUUUUUGUUUGUUUUUACUGGGUUGCUCUUUUUGACUGUAUCGUAUGUUCUAUGACAUAAACAGGGAUGUGAGUUUCAAUAAGUUAGGGGGAAAUAUUCCUGAUGACAUUGCAAGAAAACUGAAAGUCGUGUGAGUACAAAACUUCAAUCUUUCACUUCUGUAUUAAGUGCAUUUUGGGAAAUAAGUACAUUGCUUGGUAACAUCUUGAAACUACAUUUUUGUCCCUCUGUACGUAAUUCUUACUAUAUGGUUUUCCCUAAUUAGGUUUGUCACUGGAAACAUGCUGAGUGGAAAUAUCCCAGAUGCACUCUUCAAGGAUGGAAGCAAUAUGUACGUUUACUAUCUAUAACCCAUUUGACAUCAUUCCUGAUAUUCCAUCUUGUUUGUGAGUGAAGAUUGAAUGUGCGUUGUUACAACGCUACAUGAUCAACUUUUCCUGCAUCACAAAUAUGAAAUAUAUAAUUUUAAUCAGUAUUAUAGCAAAAUAUUAAGCUGCACAUACUGGUAAAACCUAAAAUUUCUUUCUGUAUUGUCAUCAAUAAUGGCUAUUGAUGAAUGCUUCUGUUUGUAAAUGUAUAAUUUAGAUGCUCCAGCUAAUUUCAUCCAUCUUAUUAACAUUGUGCAGCGAUCUUUCGUACAACAAUUUCACGUUGAAAGGCCCUGAUCAAUCAGCUUGUCAAUCAAAAAUGUUAGGAAAUUCUUUUAAGUAUUUCGUAUUUAUAUUUUCAUCAGCAUGCACUUUUCUGUAUUUAAAUCAUUAACCUCUCUCUGUCCCNNNNNNNNNNNNNNNNNNNNNNNNNNNNNNNNNNNNNNNNNNNNNNNNNNNNNNNNNNNNNNNNNNNNNNNNNNNNNNNNCCCCCCCCCCCCCUCCUUUUAGUAGUAAUCAAAAUGUGAACCUGUUCAAAAGCUCUGCUACUGUAAAUCCAUUGUAAGUUGCAUUUUCUCUUUUUAUUCUUGAAAACUCAUCAAACUAAAACUAAAUGCACACUUGUUUCUGACUGCUUCGAUGCUUAACCUCCAACACAGACAACAAAUGCUUCCUUGUACAAGAAAUGUAGAUUGUCCCAGAUGUAAGUACAUUCCCUUUUGUUAAUUAAAUUCUCCACUUAUUGCCUUGUAAUAAAAUUGAAGUUUUCUUUAUUUUCUUUAUCCGUUUCGCAACUUAAUAUUUUGGAGCAUCUCACUAUGACAAAAUGAAAACAAAGCAAGCUUUGUUCCCAAUGUAUUUGGGAUCAUCCACAUGAAUCUUUUUACUAUAAUUUGUUCAGUUCAUUACUAGAUUUACUGGAAGAUCCAAAUCAACCAGAUUUUUAGCAAUCAGCAACAGGCUAUGUCAGUUUUAGUUUGUCCCUCGAUCUUCUAACCUAUUUUACCAAGAUAGCGUCAUUUGAACAAUAGUGUCUUUUGGUCUAAGCAAAAUAUGUCCUCACCACUUAACUCAUCUUUUUGUUAAUUUAUCCUCAUUCAAUGCCACCUUCCUUGUGUACCCAUGCAGUUUUUGUUUGUCUAAUUCAUAUGUUUUUUAAGGAAGAGUUGUGAAAUUGCUCAUGUAACUAUUUAAUCUUGUUUGUCCAUGCCAGACAAGUGUUGUUUACGUGUUAAUUGUGGCGGGGGUAAUUUGGAAAUCAAAGAAAGCAAUAGAAAAGUUACUUAUGAAGGAGAUGCUGGAGGUGAUUCUGCAAGAUUUUCAAGUACAAGCAGUUAUUGGGGGUUUACUAGUUCUGGAGAAUUCAUGGACCAACCUAACAACCAAAAUUCACGUUCUAUCAGAACCACAUCGACAACAAACCUCUCUGAGUUAUACAGUACUGCACGUCUCAGUCCUCUUUCGAUUACAUAUUACCAUUACUGCCUGGAGAAUGGAAGUUAUAGCGUGAAUCUUCACUUUGCUGAAAUACUAUUCACAAAUGACAACACAUUUAACAGUCUUGGAAAGCGGAUGUUUGACAUAUACAUCCAGGUAGUGAAUAUAUAUGCGAAUUAUAUGCAUUUCCCAAGUGAAUUGUAUGGCUUUAUAAGACCCUCUUUCACUCUCAGGAAAAAUUAGUUUUGAAAGAUUUCAACAUUGAAUAUGAGGCUAGGGGAGCUCAAAGGCCUGCGACUAAACAUUUUAAUGUCACAGUAUCAGAUAAUACUUUGGAGAUCCGAUUUUACUGGGCUAGUAAAGGGACUACACGAAUUCCUAAUAGAGGAGAUUAUGGUUCUGUUAUAUCAGCUAUCUCAGUCAUUCCAAGUGAGUAUUUGCAUUCUUUUCCUUAUAUUUUCCUUCUUGUCCCCCCCCCCCCCCCCCCCCCCAAUUUUAAAAUUUCACUUAUAUAAAUAUGAAGGUAAAAAUCUAAAUACUUACCUUUUGCUAUGCGAUAAUAUUUUAAGUUUAGGAGUUAGAAGAACUUUGGCAUGCGCUAAUAUUUAUUGAUGGUUAUGUAAUUUUUCAUUGAUUUUUACAUUCUUAGGUGCACUCGGCUCAUUGAUUUUCUUCAUCAACUUAUCUCUCCAAAAUCAUUAAUUUCGACCAUCAACACUUCAUUUCAAAUCUAUAUUUAAUAUUUAAGGCUGUGGUCUAGAUUGAGUCUUUAUCUUCUGAAUCCUGUUUUCUUUGUGCUGUGCUUGGGGGUGUGCAUUUGUUAGUUCUUAUUAGUUAUUCAUCUUAGCUAGUAUGAAUUUGGAUGUCAUAGAAAUGACUAACCUGCUAGUAUGAGAUGAACUUAGUUAUUGUUUAAACCUGAGUUUCUCCUUGCUUUGUGUUACAUAAUUAAUGCCUUUUCUUAUAUCUUGCAGACUUCAAAAUUUGUUCAUAUGGAGGCAAGAACAAUUUAACUGUUUAUGUAAGUGUUGGUGUCGUGGCCGGAUGCCUUAUUUUCUCGAUAUUUGGCUUCCUUUGGUGGAAAGGCUGUUUGAAAGGCAGAAAACGGAAAGGUGAUGACUUUGAUUAUCUUAUGAAAACAAGAAUGAUUAUUGAUUCAUAAGCUGGUGAAUAUGAUUAAAUGCACAGCGCAAUUCAUGUUAAGGGUAUCAAAUAUGAAAUAUAAAGUAAACUUCGAGAUGUAACAGUUAAAUAUGCGUACAUUAUCUUUCAAGAGUUCCCACUAGAUCAUAUGAUUUGAAAUGACAUUCGAGGAGGCCAUCUAGUUCUUUCAUUGAAUCAGCAAUAUAAUUCUCUCUUAAAAGUCAAUGGCCACUAAGGACGUUUUUAUUGGACCACCUGUUGUGGAGGUGGAGCAAAAGGAAUUAGGGAGUUCCUCGUUCACCUGUAUAUAAUGUGAGUUUCCCUAUAGCCAUCUAAGACAUAUUGGGAUUUUGAAAUUGGGACUUUCUUCGUUCUUACUCUCUUAACUCUUUAUAAUGGACUUUUUUCUCCUCUUACGUGUAUGUAGGGAUGCCGAGUAAACUUCGUAAAUCUUGUGUCUUCUAAUUUUUUGUUCUUUGUCAUGUGAUAUCAAAUGUACCAUAUCUAUCUGGGAUGACCAAACAGAACAUUGUGCAAAUGAAUGAUCAUUUUAUGUCUUCCGUGAACAGAUUUUGAAGGUCUAGAAUUGCAAACAGUUUCUUUUACUUUGAAACAAAUAAAAGUGGCUACUAACAACUUCGAUCCCACAGAAAAGAUUGGAGAAGGUGGUUUUGGUCCCGUAUACAAGGUAUUUAUUGUUGAGAUAUCAUUAUUUCCUUCAUUUCUGAUGAAUAGGUUUUCUAAAGGAGAAAUGGCACAGGGUCAAUUAUCUGAUGGGACUGUUAUUGCUGUAAAGCAGCUCUCCUCUAAAUCAAGGCAAGGAAAUCGUGAGUUUUUGAAUGAGAUUGGCAUGAUUUCUUGUUUGCAACACCCAAACCUCGUUAAGCUCCACGGAUGUUGUAUUGAAGGAGACCAAUUGCUACUCGUCUAUGAGUACAUGGAAAACAAUAGUCUGGCCCAUGUUUUGUUUGGUAGUUUUCUUACAUGAAAUAUAUUUUUCAAUUUCUGCUUGUUGGUUUUAUAGCCUUUUUUGCUAGGGUGGACGGUACAUUAGUAGACAGUAAUAAAGAAAGCAGUUAAAAUUUUGUCGAUUCUAGUGUCCAAUCUGGGUAACUAAUAUGAUGGUACUGAACAUUCGAAAUUGGUCGGGCUGCAAAAUUCAGGUUCAGGGGGAAGCCAGUUGACGGUGGACUGGCCAACAAGGUUCAAGAUUUGUCUUGGAAUUGCUAGAGGAUUAGCAUUUCUUCAUGAAGAAUCAAGACUGAAAAUUGUUCAUAGAGAUAUCAAAGCAUCUAAUGUUCUGCUUGAUGGAGAUCUAAACCCUAAAAUAUCAGAUUUUGGAUUAGCUAGGCUUAAUGAAGAAGAAAAGACCCAUAUUAGCACCCAAGUUGCCGGAACAAUGUGAGUUCAACUUGGUCAUUGGGUAAUUCUUUACAACCUUUGUACCUUGGCAUGCUCCAAUUCGGUAGUUUCUCAUCUUGAUUGCAGAGGUUAUAUGGCACCGGAAUAUGCACUAUGGGGACAUCUGACCGAUAAAGCAGAUAUUUAUAGCUUCGGAGUCGUGCUUUUGGAAAUUGUCAGCGGCAAGAGCAACAACAAUUACAUGCCAAGUAGUAAUUACACUUGCCUAUUGGAUAUGGUACUAAUCCUUCGGCUCUUCACUUAAUUGCACUUCCCCUGUAAUUAGGGAUGUCAAAAGGAUCAGGCCCGGCUGGCACAGCAGCAAAAACUGCACCAAGCUCGACCACCUUUCAUUUUGAAGGCUGGUCGAGACUGGCCUAAUAUAAAUUGGCGAAAUGGGCUUGGAGCAGCUUGCCAAUAAUAACGACAGCCUGCCCUAUUUGACACCCCUACUCGUUAUGUAGUCCAAAAUUUGACCCUCACAUUUGCAUGCUGACAUUCAUAAUUGUUGCCUAUUUCCCCUUUUUUCCCUUAUCGAAACCAUCUAAUGUCUGGAAAAAAUUGCAUUGUAGGCUUGUCAAUUGCAAGAAACCAAUAACAUAGACGAACUUGUCGACAAAAGGCUGGGUUCUCAAGUGAACCCAGAGGAAGUAGAAAGGACGGUAAAAGUGGCUGUUCUCUGCGCAAAUGCAACUGCAUCUGUUAGGCCUCCCAUGUCCGAGGUAGUCCAAAUGCUUCAAGGACACAUGGCCAUUCCAGAUGUACCCCACGAAGGCAAUGAUGUGAGGUUCAAAACCAUAAAAGGCUUAAACCAAGAAUGGCAAAAUCGAAGUUCAAGUGGAAGUCGAACUCAGAAGUCUACCAUUGUACAAACAGAUGCAGGAGUUUCUACUCCUAGCACUGAAUCUUUAAAUUCAGGUUUAAAUGUUACAACCACAUGGAAGAACUCACCUAAUUUAGUCGAGCACAUCGAAUAAAAAGAAAAAAACUUCAUGCUCCAAAAGGUUAUAUAGCCUAGGAAUUAUAAAACUCUUGGGAUGUAAAUGUAAUGCCUAUUGAAUUUUUAUUCGACUUAUUUAUUAAUACCAUAAGAUUAUGAGUUGUAAUUAUUUAACGUUAGUCAAAAACAAUAAUUUACAUCGACAAAGGAUAAAGAUUCUCCCCGUGAAAUGGGUGGUGUUGAAAAAAUUGUUUUUCAACUCUCCAAUAAUGUUAUGUCACUUAUACAUUAUGGAUAUCUUUAUAGACAUCAUAAUAUACAUGUAACAUAACCCUUUGCUUAAAAAUUUAGAAUUGACUCCCAUGUGACCAUGUCCCGCUGGGCAACAUAUUAAUGUUACUAUUUAAAAUAUAAUAUUUAUGACCGACACAUUUUAUUUUAUUUUUUUCAAUAGUCGAUAUCAUGUAUCAAAAACUCUACUAUUUUGAACUUGUAUGCACAAGAAAGCAUCUAUAUUGCAUUAGAAGUGCGGAAUAUGAAACUGAACGUUUUCGAAGUGGGGCGGACGCUUCAAACUCAUAUUGGCACUAUAUCACGCAAGCUCAUGGGGAUCGGAAUUUUUCUUUUUAUAAUAACUAGUCUAUGUUACGUGCGAUGCACGAGUUGUGCAUAAAUUAUGAUUUGGUUAGCGUAUGUAUUGAAUAUGUUUGAAAAUAUAUUGGAAGAUGGAAUUAUUGGCAAGGAACUAACCAGUGAAUAAUUGAGAUAAUAUUAUACAUAUUGAUGUGUUUGAUUGUGAUUUGUAAAUUUGUAAAUUCAUCGUAAUUAAUCAUGUGUUUGUAUUACAGUCAAUGAUAGAUGAGAGAGAAUAAAAAUUAACUUCAUUACCAUCAUUAAUUACAGAGUAUAGCCAAAAUAAAAAAAAAAAAAUAAUGACUGAUUUUCGAGAUGGAUGAUGUAGGGAUUACAUAUACAUCAUUUGUCAUUACUUUUUUUGUUUUGCAGUUUUUGAUCAGGAAAUUAUACAUAACAAAAUAGAACUUCAAGAUCAAAUUUACAAUGAAGACAAAUUUCACAAAUCGAAUUAGCAAAAAAUUUACAAAACCACACAACACUCUUGUCAAAAUGUUGGUUUUGCGGAAAAUAUUUCGACUACUAUUUACUCCAGUUUUUCUUUUUGAGCAAGUGGAUUUGAGUCUGAACUCAUGUUUUCAUCACAAACCAUUUUUGAGUUAGAAUUCUCAUUAGAAGAUUUGAAAAGGGCUUAUUUCACUGGAGGUGACUAAUCUUCUUGAUAGUCUGUACUAACGUUUUUCCCAACUGUUGUAACCUGACUGUCAACGUUUGUUUGGAUUUUUGGUUCAAGACUUGCAUGAUCAAUAUUUACUUGAAUUUCUUGUCCUGGACUUGGAUGGUCAAAGUCUGUUACAGAGAUGAUAUCAAAUCUGUAACUUGAUGAAUUAGAUUCAUUUUGCGAUGCUUACAAGUAGAAAGCUCGUUCAGUAUUCUGCAUUUUUUUAAUGGUUGCUUCGAAAUUUGUCUUUGAACCCUGUGUUAAUUUUAAAUUGUAUUAUUAUUAUUCUACUAAAAUAUGCACUGAAUGGCAAAAUGUUUGAGACAAGUUAGAUUUCUUACAAAUUUGGUUUCCUCCAUCAAAGACUCUGAAAUUGUAAAUAAUAGUUUCUCAGCUGGUUCACCAAUUGCAUUUGCAUUGAUUGAUCCGGUGACAUCUGAAAGCUGAACAUAUGCUCUAGCCCUAAAGUAAAAAAGAAAUUAGUAUUAAUAGAUACAAGAAUAAUAAAGAGAAGUAGAAAGGUGUAAAAAAUGAAAAGUAAUUAAUCGUUAGUGUAUUUUACCGAGGAAUAGCUUUGGAAUUGGGAUUUUUACAAAAAAUACAAAGAUAUGUUUCUCCAAAAUCAACGUUCGACCGUCUAAAACAGUUGUUGCAGGUUAUGUACCAGGAUUUGCUAUCAAUUUUAUCUGUUGUUGCUGUGCCGUUUACCCAAUAAAACUUUCACUGUUAUAGUAUAGAUAUACUUAGAGAAAUUACAAGGAAAAAUAAAUAAUAUGAUUGAGUGUAUCUUGUAAUAAAUAUCUCUAUAUUAGGAAAUAAAUAGAGAUUGAGUAUCAUACGUAACCUUAAUAUUACCAUUAGAAGGCGUCCCUGAAGAUUUUGAAUAGGAAUGAAUUUACUUCGUACAGGUGGAGAAAGAUUCGUGGGACUUUUGUCCAUGUAUGAUUUUUUGAACACAAAAUCAUCUAUUUUAAUGAAAUUUGUUCUUACCCUAAUCAAAAGACAUGAAGAUAAUUAGUAACUCCAAUAAUAAUGUGCCGAAAAAUAAUUGAGAGGGAGAAAAAAAAAGAAUAAUAAAAUAUAGCACUUUUUACAUACCAUUCUGUCAUUUGUUUUACAGCAUUGAAAGGCACAUUUAUGAAAAAAGUGGAAUGAACUUUCAUGGACAAUUUUAAACCUAUAUAAUAUCAAUAUGGAGAAUGUGUAAAUGAUGUAAUAUAUAUAUAUAUAUAUAUAUAUAUAUAUACACACACACACAUAAACGUUAAGAAAAGUUUAAAUAAUACAAUAGAACAUACCAAAGAAUGAUGUAACCUUUAGAUGGGUUGCGAAGAAGACUGACUUUUUGUCAAUAAUGUCUGCUAUCAGUAAGCAUUCUCUGUCAACAAAUGAAUCCCAAAGUGUAAGCACCAUUGUUUUGAAAUUCAUGUCUAGAAGUAUGAUAUCUUGCAACCAAGUUUGGUUGCCAUCUUUGGAUUGAAUCAAUCGUUUGGGUGUCAUAUCAACUGGAACUGCAAGUAUAUCUGCAAAUUUGAAAUAAGCCAUCAAAUUUAUUUUUUUUGGACAUAAGCUGUACAAAUUUGAAGGAAACUCUAUUUCUGCAGAAUUAGUAUAUGAUUAUUUAAUAUCUAUGAAAUUUUGUCUCACUUAAAUCAGCAUCUGUAUCCAUGUAUUGUUCGAGUUUAUGAAGUUGUGUCAGUUGAUAUGUUGAGAAUACAAACUCUAGAUUAUCUUCAUUCAAUUCUUCAACAUGAGUUUCUCCAGAUAUGGUCCAUUGUAGAGAGCCAGUCAAAUAUCUGUAGUUUGUCGUAUUGUUCUUCACGUAAGUUUUCGAAAUAGUAUAAGUUUUUCCCAGAACAAGUUGAUCCUCAAAAGCAGUAAUAUUGGAAUCAUAUAAGUUUGCCUGAAUAGUAUUACCUGAAAAAUCAUGAUGAACCAUAUAAAUAACUGUAAUAUACAUGAUUUUAGAUUAAGAAAAAACACAAAACAAAAAACAAAAAGAAACGAAGAAAAAAUGUACGAAGAAGAGUUACCUGAGUAUCCAUUAACAUCAAAUGUUGGUACCUUUCAUUGCCUUGUCUCGAAGGCUUUGGUAAUUGUUUUUCAACUACAAUCACUUUAGCUUUUCAUUUUUAAUUGUUGGAAAUAAUUUCUGGUAGAAGUUGGUAUUGUUCUUCCAUGGUAGCAAUUUCGUGACAAUUUCGUAACAAAAUAAUAGAGGUAAAAUGCACACAAAAGGAAGAUUUUUAUGGCAAACGAUUUUGAGAUAUCCAAUUGAGAAAUAAAAGAAGAUAUAUAUAGACAUGUAAAAUUAUAUCAUAUUUGGUUUCUCGUACUUCAUCUUCUAUUCUUAAUUUUAUUUUUUUAUAAAAAGUAAUACAAGUAUGUACUAAGUAAUAUCUUAUUAUUAGCCAUAUACUGUCAUAAGUUUUGUCUGCAUGAGAUAUGGAGAUUACUUGUAAUAUUCAUUUAUUGAUAGUACACAAAUAAAACGUGAGUUCAAAGAUUUAUACUUAGAGCAUACGUAAAACUAUAAUUUAUUGGUACUCCCUAUUAUAAAUAUAAUAAAAGGACGUCAAAAUUUGGAUUAAAAAAGGAAAAAGAUCAAGAUUUACACGGUAAAAUCUUAUCAUACCCAUACUCUAUUGAUUUAUUUGGAUUAAAAAAGGAAAAAAAUAAAGAUUUACACGGUAAAAUCUUAUGAUACCCAUACUCUAUUGAUUUAUAAUGACUGAACAUAGACAUGAGCUGGCAAAGGUUUAAACAUGGUAUAAGAAUGACUCUGAAUUAAAUUAAGUUGUAUUCACCGGGGAAAAAGUAUUCAUACUACAAACCUUCUUUGUAAUGGAAGAAAAUUUUGAUUCAGUUAUUUAUUUAGCUUAAAUAAAUUGAAUUGUAAUAAAUAUCUAAUUACACGUGAAUAUGUUGAUGUAUGAUUUUGUGUAUGAAAUUAAACAAUUCAAAUAAAGACGUAUAUUUGAGAUUUUAUAAAAGGUAUGAAUAGUUUGUAUUUCAUAACACAACAAAAAUAUUUCAUUGAUUGUUGACCAAAUGCAUAAAACAACAAUAACAUACAGCUCAUAUGUGACAGCCUUUUAUCUUAUGGUUGGUCUAUGCUUAUUUAUUAUACUUUUAGUCCCAAAAAUCUCUACAUUUUCAAGAGAGAAACUCCCAGCAGAUUUAAACUGGAGAAACUCUGAAAUUGGCCGGAAAAGAUAACAAUUUUACUUAAAAAUUUACAAUCGAAGAAACUUGUAUAUAUCUGCACAGAUCUGCGUAUGGUGCCCAUAAGAACUCCGUGAUUAUGGUGACCCAUGCUUUAAUGGGUCUCCAUUAUUACGGAGGCCAUAACAAGGCCUCCGUAUGAUGGAGGCCAGUGUUGGCCUCCGUAUUUACAAAGGCAAACGUUGGCCUCCGUAAAUCUGGAGGCUUGGUUUCUUGUGUAGGCAACAGAUUUUUAGUAUGGAUAUAGAUGCUAAAAAUGCUGAAAAACAAUAUGAAAGUGACAGAAAAAUCCGAAGUAUACCAAAUGUAGUGAGGAUUCAUAUAGAAGAUUUGAUGGUUCUAUCAUGUUUACUUGAGUCAAUUGUUUGAACCCAAAGAGUAGAAAUUUUCAUUGUUAACAAAAGAUGUUCACAUUAAUUUCUUAGACACCAUGUACAUAAUAUCAUAAAUGUUUGAAUUUUUGUCAUUUUCAUAUUUUUUUCAGCAUUUUUAGCACCUAUAUCCAUACUGAAAAUCUUUGCCUCCAUAAUCACGGAGGUUUUAGAUUCAUUCAUAAAUGUUUAUCUAUUUUUAAUUUUUAGAUUCAUUUAUAAAUAAGAUGUGAUUUUUGGAAUAAUUUAUACAGAUGUCUCUAGAAUACAUAAUUUCUCCGGAUCAAUGGUUUUCUGCUAUAAUUGUCCAGUAUCCAAAUUUCGAAUAUCUUAAAGACUUUGUAAAAUUUUUAGAUUCGAAUGAGCAAUUUUUGUUGAUGUGUAUUAAUUUUUAUGGAUUUCUUUAUGGAGCUUUCUACAAAGGAAAAAUGUACAAUUUAGUAGUAGGUUGGUGCAUGAAUUUAUAUUGAGGCUUGUAAAUUGUGGGAAAAUUGAUGAAAUUUGGGUAAGGUUAGACGAUCGUGUAGCCAGAUUUAGUAUGCAAGAAUUUUGUCUUAUUACUGGAUUACCUUGCCAUGAACCAUCCAUGGACAUUAAUGAUACAAAUGAUCGUCUUAGAAAUCAAUACUUUAAUAGUACAUAUCGAAUCAGUAUGAAGAUGCUUCAUGAAACAUUCCAUGCGUGUGAACAUGAAAAAGAUAAAUUGAAGCUUGGUUUAGUCAUGUUGAUCGAAUGUGUGUUGACACCCACUUCAAGACAAAUUGAUUAUAGAACUCUUGGUAUAGUUGAGCAUCUGGAUGAGUUCAUUGCAUAUCCAUGGGGUCGCAAAACAUAUUUGAUCGUGUUAUAUUCAUUGAAAGCAUCACAAUCUGAAAGAAUACAAAGGUUGCAACGGAAUGAACAAAUAGAAUGCAAGUACGCGUUACAUGGGUAUCCACUUGCAUUCCAGGUAAUUAGUCACUAUUCUUGUAUUGAUUUAUUAUGUACAAUAUAUUCCCAUAAAAAUUUUUUAAACAUAUAAUGUUUAUUUUUUAUUAUUUUGCAGUAUUUGAUAUAUGAAGCAUUUCCAAAGAUUGGAAAGAAAUUUGGACAUCGUAGACAUAAAAAACCAUAGUGCCCAAGAAUAUACAAGUGGAAACCCAACCAAUUUGUAACUGAAAAAGAGAUAAAGCUUUUUUUGUCUACUCGUCAGGUAUGUUUUUAUGAAUGUACAAUUACUCUUAUAUUCAAUUAUCUUAAAAUAAAAUUAAAUUCAAAAUAAACGAUUUUGAUAUUUCAAUUUGAUUACAGAUUCAAGUGAUUGUUGUGCUACAGCCUAAUGAAGAAGAAUUACAAAGUUUUUGGUACGAAACUCUUUCAUUGCCAGUGAAUAAUAGACACAGCAGAUUAGAUGGGAUUGUAAAUGGAGUAUUAGAUAAUGCAGUAGAACAAAUCCCAGACAAUAUACAUGUGCAAGAAACGAUGAAUCCCGGUACUUCUACAUCUUCACCUGUAUUUGGGUCAGCUCUGUUCCCAGUAGCUCCAACUUUUUAAGUGAAGAUAAAAUGGAAUAAUUGUUGGGUAUCUACAGGCAAUACACAGCAUCAGACGUGUCUGAUGUAUAUAGCAACUUGAACGCAGAAUUUGCUGAUGAAUCAAGAGCUCACCACCAUACGGUUCUUGAAAACCAAAAACAGUUAUUUGAGGAGCAAACAAAAUGGCAAGAAGAUUACAUGCAACAUCAUUAUCAAAUAAUUCUUGACAACCAAAGGCAAUUUUUUGAACAGCACCAGAAGUGGCAGGAAGAGAGAUAUCAGGGUAUACAAUCUUAUAUUGAUACCAGUUUAAGUUCAAUGAGAUCCUAUGUCGACGAACAAAAUCAGGAAACACUGAACACGUUAUCUGAAUGGAAAUCAAACAUGGAAGCCAUCAUAGGUUCCAUGCAACAAGAUGUCCCUCUCGAUAUAAGUGUUGUUUCUUGCGAUAAACCAAAUGAGAUAUCAACAGCUGAACAAAUUGAGAACUCUAAACGGUCGAUAAAAGAGAAGAAAAACAAGGGGAAACAAAUACAGUUUUCAUCAUCUUCAGAUCGUCCUCUAGAAGACUAUCCUAUGCAAAGAUACACAAAAAUUAGAAAUUUUAUAGCGGAGAAUCAAUCUGGGUAAUAAAUCUAAUUUUACUUGUAUUAGCUCAAAUCUUCAAGUUCUGUUUUGAUUUAUUUGGAAUUAAUUAAAAUUAUGUCAUAUAGUGCAUACUUGGACGAUGGCAAUAACAAUGUCUUUGGAAGAGACAUGUUGAAAACUCUAAUGGCUCAAACACAGGACAUAAAUAUUGCUGUAAGUAAAGUCUAUAAAUUACAAUAGAUUUUAUUUCAUAGUCGAUAUAUAUAAUCUAAUUUAUAUCUAUUUAUUUAAUCAAAACAUUGAGUUAGAGUUAAAAUUAUUGAGGCGGCUCAUGAAUGAUGGUUGUCCGCUUGUUUAAAAAGAAUAUGCAAUUAUGGAUUUCAAAUUUGAAGCAGAAUGUGCUUGUCAAAUGAUAUGGCAUACUGACACAGGAAUGGGAACCACAAGGGGUGAAGCAGAUGGAACUCUUAUGGAAAGUUAUAUGAAUGGCACAACACCUAUAUUUGGUCAUCCUUGGAGGACAUGCAAGUAUAUAUUAAUUCCGUACUCAUAUCCGGGCAAUAGCUGGUACCUUUUCGUUGUCAAUAUUCUUGAAUGGAAAUUCCAAAUAUAUGAUUGCAGCAAUAACGUCCACACACCGGAUCAAGUAAAAGCACAUGCAAAAACUUCAUUGACUGUGGUAGAAGCACUAUUGAAAACAACUUUAUCUUCUAGAGGAGAUAUAAUGAAACAUAGGAAUAAACAAAUGAAAGAGGAGAUUAUACCUUUCCUAAACUGUGCAAACAAUGGGUAAGUAUUUAAGUGGCUUGUUUUUUAGCAGAAUAUUUAAUUUCCUAAACUUAGUCAUUUAUUCUAACACUAAACUAUUUCUUCCACAGGCCUAAUUGUGGACUUUUCGUGCUCAAAUAUAUAGGAUGCUUUGUUUUGGGAUAUCCAAUUGAAUCAAUUUCGUCAGAUAGGAUGAGUAUAUAUAGACGAAAGAUUGCGGUAGAUAUCUAUAAUAAUGAAUACUUUCUUCAUCCCCGCAAGUCCUAAUUGUAGUAGAUAAUCAGAAUCUACUGAUUGAAAUAUUAUGUAAUAAACUUGUGUUUUUUAUCCUUUCUUCUCGUAUCUUAUCAGUGACCUAAAUAAAUAAAGAUAUGUUGAACAUGGAAUAUUAUGAAGGACAUGUUUAAAGAUAAUGACCUGACCCUUUUAUAUGCACCAUGUUUCGUACUAACAAGUAAAGUAUAAUUGAAACGCAUAAUAACAUGUAAAAAUAACUAACUUUGUAUAGCUCAAUGUUAUUCUCCUUGACAUAAGAUGGAUUAACAGAGAAAAUAUCCUCUUUUAGGCUAACAAUAGAUUGGCAGUCCAAUUAAGCAAAAUUCGUAAUUAUAGACUUCUUAAGUAGUAUGUCUCAAAUUCAAAAUUUCAAGAUAGACUACAUUUUUUGUGCAACAAUUGUGUGAUUUUAUUUCAUCCACUGGCUUUAUUAGAACUUUUAUGUUUUCUCUUGUUCUUGCUCUAAAUAAAGCGACAUAUAAUUGACUAUGCGAGAAAACAGGUUCAGGCAAAUAUAGUCCAACAAAAUCUAAAGUUUGAUCUUGAACUUUGUUAAUUGUCAUUGCAAAACAAGGACGAAUGGGAAAUUGAGCUCUCUUAAAUGGUACUGAGUACUUAGCUCCUUCAAGUGGAAUAAAUGAAAUUCUAGGUAAAAAUACUUGUUUUUCACGAUAUUCAUCUAUUCUAAUUUCGGCUAAAAUAACACUUCGUUUAAAUUCUCGACAAAUAAGUCUAGUCCCAUUACACAAACCUUCUGAAUGAUUAAUAUUUCUAAGCAACAUAACAUGACAGUUUCUUUUUAGUACAAGUUCAUGUGGAGGGAUACCAUUUGGAGUUAGACUAUUCAAAAAGUCCUCAUGAAUAAAUCCUUCUGCUUUAUCAAUUACUUCAUCAAAACUAAAAUAUGUAAAUAUCUCUCCUGAAAUUUCUUUUACUAACAUAUUAUUUAUUACAUCCACAUGUUCAUUUUUUGGAGUCAAAAUAACUCUGUUCAUCAUAGUAUUCAAAUUGUCACCAUAUGUGUGAAAAUUAGGAAACACAAUAGCAAUUAGUUUUUUCAAUGAUUCAAAUUCACUCUCAAAAUCUAUUAUUAUAUCUGCAGGAAGCUUAAUCAUGUGACAUGUAUGUUCUCUUUCUAUUCCAUUUCCAAUUCUAAGUAAAUAUUCACAGAACAAAGGAUCUAAUUUAGUUCUCAUAUUCUCAGUCAAUGGUAGUUGUAUAAAAUAUUGCCAUAAAUCUGAAAAAACUAAACUGGCCUUCAUGAUAUCAUCUUUUGUUCUUCUUUGUACUACUGGCAACACUUGUCGAAAAUCUCCUCCGAACACAACAACCUUUCCACCAAAUGGCAAUUCACAUUCAGUAAUAUCUUUUAACAUUUUAUCCAAAGUUUCAAAAGCACAUCUAUUAAUCAUCGGUGCUUCAUCCCACACAAUUAGCUUUGUCAUUUGUAAAAGUUGACAAAGUGAUGAUUGUUUACUUACUGAACACCGCAUAUCAGAACUUGCUUGAAGUGGGAUUUUAAAACGUGAAUGACCAGUUCUCCCACCCGGCAAUAAAGAAGCAGCCACUCCCGAUGACGAUGUUGCUAAUGCAAUAAGUUGUCGAGAUCGUAUUGCAGCAAGUAAUGACUUGUACAGAAAAUUUUUUCCAGUACCUCCUGGACCAUCAAUAAAAAAAACUCCAUUUUUAUUAUUUACAACACAGUCUAAAAUAACAUCAUAGACAGAUUGUUGUUCCUUAUUUAAAUUCUCUGUAAAAAUGCAUGUCACACUGAAUAUUAAUAUUUGUAGUCUCUUCUAAAAUCAUGUUUGCUAACACAUCAGCAUCAUUCACAAUUACAUCAAAAUCUACCAGACCAAAAUCAUUUAUGUUUGUACCAAAAACUUCCAAGAAUGAAUUUAUGCAUCUCAAAGCCCUAAUCUCGGCAUCACAUACUGUCAUGCUUUCAUGUAAAAAAUCUUAUAUCAUGUACACUUUAAAUUUAACCCAUAAAUUCCUAGGAUUUGCAGGGCUGCAAAAAAUCAACACAUUAGCAAAGAGGCGACGCAAUGAUAUAGGCAUUUCAUAGGUGAUCGCCUCAUUUAAACACAUUUCACAAUAAUUAUUCCCACCUAUGAGACCAUGUAAAAAUGCAGCUUCGCGAUAAGUAGGCAAAACAAUGUUAUUAACUGUUCUUAAAUCUUGAAAAGACUUAGACCCUUUAACAUGAUUCAAUAAAACUCUUAGAAAGUAUCUCUCGCCCUCAAAUGGAUUAGCAGCAACUAUUCUACCAAUAACAUUUUGCUUCUUUCUAGGACUCCAAACUCGAAAAUAUGUAUUCCAUACAAAGUAUGUAGGAAAAUCCUUAUAAAGUAAAGUUCGUGCCUUUUCAUUUGAAAUAUUCAUUCUAAAACAUUCAGUUAACAUUGUUCGUUGAAUGGAGUCUUUAUUUAUAACUUCUGAUAGAUCAUCUGUUUCAUUAUAUGUAACCAACUGAGCAUCUUCAAUAUGUAACUGCAAAGAAACUACAGAAGGAGAUAUGUCGAAUAAAUCAAAACUAAAAAUUCUCCAUAUAGCUUCCGGUGCAGAUAUCCAUCUAGCGGUUUGAUAAUUCGAAAUCUCAUCAACAUAAUGCUCAUUAGUUCCUUUAUUUACCGUAAAAUUAACACGAUCAUGUCCUUUGUAUACAUAUUUGUAUAAAUAUUUGACUGCUUUAACAGAAGAACAUAUUUCAACAUUAGUGUGACAAUCAUACUUAGCUAAAAUAUAAGGAUUAUAUGGUACAACUCAUCUAUUGUCUAGUACAGACCCUCUGACCUUAACGGUAACACCAUCGUCACGACGCCUAUAAAGUGGAUAUGAAUCAUUACCUAAUGAAGAAUGCAAAAUGUAUUCUCUUGAAUACUUGUUUUUACAAGUACAGUUAUUUUUCAUGCACACAUUUGUAGGAUUUAAUUGUCUACAAGGACCAUGCAUCAUAUGUUUGACCACAGUAGCAUACAGGUGAGGAUUUCUCUUUGGAUCUGGUAUUUCAUAAGAAACAAUUUCAUCAACUUACGUAGAAUUAUUAAUCUUAAAAUUCGUUUUAAAUAUCAGGAGAAAAUGAACAUGAGGUAGACCUCUUUUUUGGAAUUCAAUUACAUACACAUAGGCAGCUAUAGGCCCUAGAAUUUCUCUCUUUAUUAAAUCUAUUUUUAGUUCUUCAAGUUUUGCUCGAAAUAUUUGGGCUAACAAAUCUGGCCUAUUUUGUACACUAUCAUUGUGCCUCAAUUCUUGUUUAAUUUCAGGCCAAUUUGGAUUGCAUGUCAUUGUUAAAAAUAUAUCAGGUUUUCCAUAUCUUUGAACUAAACACAUUGCAUCCAUAUAUCUUUUAGUUAAAUUUCUAGGACCCCCAAUAAACCCUGUAGGCAACACAAUUGAUUUGCCAAUUUUAUAGCCUCUAUUCUCACCAUUUUGUGUACUAUCUAAAAUUCUUUGGUAAAGUUCACCUCGUAUAGUCUUUUGAUUAUUACGAAAAUAAUCUAAUCUCGUAGUUUCAAUCUUAACACACAUAUCCACUAUAUAUUGUUGUAGAAGUCUGCCUGUAUGAAGGAGUACAGACUUAUCUGAAAGUCUGAUUUGAAGUUUAUAGCAAUAAUAUUCAUGGCAUGACACAGUAAUUCGUUUCUUACCUCUCUUCAUAGCUGAAAGGGAAAAAAAAUUAAAGUCACAAAGACAGAUCUAGAAAUGACAAUACAUUUAUGCACUCUAAAAAUAUUAAAAAAUUUCAAUAGUAAUAAAACUUACCACGAUCUUCCAUCUCUAUAAGUUGUUCGGUCGAAUCAAUUUAAUUGAUUUGUAUGAAAUCUUCAUGGACUAUUAAAGUAUUCAAAUUUAUCUUUUCGAUACCUUCAUGCCAUCCAGGUUCUCCAUAGGUAAAUAUUAAUGGAUAUUGAAGUAGAUCAUAACGGCCAUAAUAGUAAUUUACUCUGUGUAGUAUUGGAACGUCCAUAAAUUAAUAUAUCACGAGUCUUUAUGCUUGCAGAUGGAUCAUCAUCAACCCACACUGCAGCCACCUAUUCACAUGAUGGCAUGUUAUAUACUCUCUGGUCGAGACCCGGAUCAGACCUCAGUAUGAUACAGCACGAAUCAAAAUCAGAAACUUUACUUAAUGAUCGAAAAAAACGACGAUAUGGAUUUAUCUUUAAGAUAUCUAUUAACUUUUUCAAAGUUGAUUCACUUAACCCAUCUGAAAUUUGUAGUCUAUUACUAAUUUCAUUAUAAGUAUCGUAUAAGUAUAACUGCAAAUAUGUAGGAUUUCCAUCAGUUGGUAGAAGUGGAUUUAUAAAAUGGUAUACCUGUCCCUGAACUUUGAACGUAAUACACCUCUAUUAUUUUUGCACAAAUUUUUAUCAUAUUUAACACCAAAUGAAGUGAAUGCAAAAUAGUUGUUGUAAGUAUGAGCAACUUUUUAAAAAGCAAUCGCUUCACAUGAAUUAGAAGUAAAUAGCUCAUAUAAUUCAGGGAGAACACUGUUCAGCUGUAAUUUAACCUUUCCAUCACAACAACAAAAACCCUUACUUUCUUUGUAAAAUUUUUUUGCACCACAAUGUUUACAAAUUGUACAAGACGGAAGAAUAUAAGGUUCGACUGGAAUAUUUCCUAUAUCAAUUCUCCUAGAACGAUCUAAAAUGAUAGGAUCAUAUGAACCACAUUGAGAUUGCAUAUUGUCAUCUUCAAAUUGCUUUUCCACGCCAAUGUUUUCAUCAACUUGAAGAUCUUUCUAUAAGUCGACAUGAUCAAUAGAAUCUACAAUCAUAAAAUUAGUAUACGAUCCCUGAAAGACAACAAAAGUGCAAAAAUUGGAUUAAAAAAUAAUUUCAAAAAAAAAAAAGAUGAAAGAAAAGUGUACUACAACAUGACCAAAUAAAUAGCCGGAUGCAAAAAAAAAAAAUUAUAAAAAAAUAUAUUCAAUCUACGAAACCUGCUGUGAAUUUAGGACAACAUCUCCUCCUUCUUCCUGUCAUAUGUCUAGAACUUGUAGAUAUUUCUAUAAUACCAAAUAUUUAUGUUAAAAUUACGUAAAAAAUAUUAAACCAACAAGAAAUCACAUUUAAACAAUAAAUCGUAUCUAUAUGUCUCCUACGCAAUUUGUCUUUUUGUACCCUUGGCUGAAUUACAAGUUCAGAAUCUUGUGCCUGUGUGGAUAGGUCCAGCCUUCUUAAACGAGCACGUCUAUUCUUAAACCAAUUAUAAACAUUCAUAUCAGAGAUUGCCCAUGCAACGAUAGUUCGAAAACUGUCUGCAUGAUCCUUGACUUGUUUGGGGUUUUAUUCUCUUGAUUAAAUAUAGAUUCAAGAACUUGAAGCUAUACAGAUGUAGGUGUCCAAUAUUGCUUACUCAUUAUAUUGUUGAAAGAAAGAAACCACAAAAAUCAACUCAAUAAAAUUGGAAACAUAACUAAGAGUAUGCACAUUGAAAAAAAUAUCCUCAUAUAAAAGAAGCCAAAAAAAUGCAUACAUUUUCAUGACCCGAACAAUAGGAAAUAUAUCGAAAAAAAACCCACCACCAACAACAAGUCUAUCGUUGAAUUAAAUAUUGUUGAACAAAAUAUACACGCAAUUGAAGACAUGGAGAAAACAAAAGGAUGGGAGGGAUGGGAAAGGUACGAUGAAAAUAAGGACAAAGGCAAGGUGCUUGCACGAACGAAACGAAAACAACGACAUUUUCGUUCAAAAUGUAAAAUGAAAAUGACAUAGACAGGAAAAUGAAUAAAUUAUACUCACUUAAGUAUUAUAGUUGGAAGAAAAAAAAACUAAAUAUAUUUAUUCAUUUUUCUAUUUCUAUAUUAUAUAUUAUAAAUUUUUGUCAUCACAUAAAUAGAAAUUUUAAAAUUUUAAAAAUAAUGUUAAGAAAGUCUGGCUAUUAGUUAAAUUCCAUACAAAAUAAGAAACUGAUGUUUAAACUAAAAUAUAACUCCAUAUAAAAUAAUAAAAUUACGUUCGACAAAACAAAAAAAUAAUAUUGAAGUAUUUGUUGUAAUAACAGUUAAGAGAAAAAGAAGGGAGGGAGGGAGGGGGGGAAAUAAUGCCUCUAUAAUCACGGAGGCUCAAAAGGCAAAGCCUCCGUAAUUACGGAGUCAUCAAAGUGCCUCCAUAAUUACGAAGGCUCAAAGUUGAGCCUCCGUAUCACUACAUACGGAGGCACAUUGAGCCUUCGUAAUUUACGGAGGCUCAACUGUCUAGGCACCAAACCGCCUUCAUAAUUAACAAAUUUCAUUUUUCUCCCUUUCUUUUUUCUUUACUAACUUUCAGCAUCAAAAUUUAAUUUCAUUUAAUCAACUUAGUUUUUUUAAUAGAUGUGAUUCCUAAAAUAAAUACAUAAAAUAUAAUUCAUUUUUUUAUAUAUACAAAUAUUAUAUAAAUUCAAUGAGUAAAAAUGUAGAUAAAUAAUAGACAUAUUACAUAUUAAUUAUAUUUCCAAUCGUAACCUUUUGAUUGCAAUCAAAUAAUGUGUGAAACGUAUUAAGAUAAAAUAGUCACUCACGUGAUAUUUCAAUAAUUUCUUUCUCCUCACUUUUAUUUUUGGGAAGAGUAAGAUCAGGCUUUUUUGGUAACAUAUUGUCCAUUUCUACAAUCCGUGAACCUUUUGUCAAAUCUGGAGAAAAGGAAAUAACAUAAGAAGUACAUAUCCUCUAAUUUAAAUAGCUUCUCAUGUUUUCAAAAUUUACCUUAAAUCACUCCUCACAUAAAAUAUUUACAUAUCUUUGCUUGCAGGUACUCAACAAAAAGAAAAUCAGGUGUUUAUCUACUCUUUCCUGAUUACCAUAACUAUUUUUUCAACACUAAAUUUUAUAGUUUUAACUUACAUCUUGUUUAUUGAGAUGGACUAAAUGUCAAUCUUCAAUUUUUUUAUUAAAAAUCGAACACAAAUCAUGAAUUUUUUACCAAACUUCACGAUAUUGUUCUACAACGGCAUAUGGAAUAUAUUUUUUUUUUUUGGAUCACAUACAAAGUUUAUCUUAUAGACAUAGAACUUCCAUUAACAAACUUUCUAAUUCGCCUAUACUGUAAAAUCUACCUUAAAAAUCUAUAUUAGGGCCUCCACAACGUAAAUAAUAGAGUUAUUCUAACAAAAUUUUCAUUGUACUAUAUUGAGACAGAAUGGAGGUGCCACGUCGUUUCUUCAGAAUCAUUACUCCUCCACAAAACCAUAAUACCCGUUUGGUUAGUCACACAAGAGUUUCUCAUCUCACAUUUGAAUGGAUGCAUUCUUAAUAUCUCUCUCAUACUUUUUAAUAUAUAUGUAUAGAUGCUUCCCAGAUCCUUUGUCAACGAUUGGAGACACCAACUUGGUGACACAGUACGCGUAACUGCAUAUGAUGGUAUAAUUGUCACAAUACGAUUGGAAAGAGAUAAUGGAAGAAUAUUUUUUGCCUAUGGAAGGGAACAAUUUUUUGACCAUCAUAACUUACAGGAUGCUCAUGUUUUGGUAUUUGAAUAUAACGGAAGAUCCACAUUCAAUAUGAUCAUAUUUGACCAUUCUGGAUUAGAGGUCACAUAUGACUCCGAUGCUCCCGAAGAAUACAACGCUUCACAUACAUAUAACCCUGCAUUUGAAAUAACACUAACACCUCAUCACAACAGCCAUCGGGAAAUUGUAAGUGUCAUUUUUAAUAUCUCAUUCUACAUUCAUCUCUUCCCAUAAAUUUGAUUCAAAGAUCAAUAAUUUAUUCAUUCAUGAUUUUUCAAGAUAUAUUAGGACAGUUCUCUAGAUAUCACCUACCAAGAGGUCUGCGAAGUGUUCAAAUCCAUGAUUCUUUACAUCACGACUGGGAGCUCGCCACAAACUUGCGACCAAAUGAUCUAGUAAGAUGUAUGACUAUAGGCUGGGCAGAUUUUUUUUAGAGAAAAAGAACUACAAAUGGGCGAUACAUGUGUCUUCAAACUUUUGAACAGUGAACCCCCAACGUUCAUCGUCUACAAAAAAGACCAUGUUGGUGGAAGUUUGACACGUCUAUGAGACCUCUUUACUUUCUUCUAAUAAUUUUCAUGUAUUUCUAUUCUGUUAUUUCCACGUCCAAUUCUAUUUACUCUCUUAUUUACCAGUUUACUCCAGAGUUUGUGUACAACAAAUCAACAUCGAAGUUCAACACUAUACGAGGAAAAUGAAAAAUCAAAUCAUAUGAAAGUAGAUUUCCCCCUCAUUAAUCAUCGCAGGAAAAACCUUUAGAUAUUACUGCUACCACAAACUAAAGAGAAGUUGAAAACAUUCUCCACCACUACCUGCAAACUAAAAUAAAGCCAAAAGAACAUGUUUCAACGAUCGAACAAGCAAAGAGAACAAAUACAAUAUAAGCACAAUGAUUGAAGCACAAAAUACAGAUAUCCCAAAUAUAAUUGAAAUAGAAAUAUCAUAAAUACAUGAAAAAAAGAAAGGAAACUAUGAAACUCAAAAAGAAAAAGGAGUAGCAUGUGAAAAUGAAGAAGAAGAAAGAAAAAUCUAUAUAAAGUGAGUAGCUUACACACACACACACACACACACAUAUAUAUAUUUUCUUGUCUGGACGGCCUCGUCUUGGCUCCAGACAUGUAAAAAAUUAAAAAUAAAAAAAUUGACAGACGGCGUCGUUUUUACUCCAGGGAAAAAAAAAGUUGCUACAGUGUGUAGAAAUGGAAGAAUUUACCGUUCUUUCUACAAUAGCAACACAUUGUCCUUUUUAUAUUGUAGGAACACGUAAGUUUCAAUAUAUUUCGAAGAUAAAUAUUUGAAGUGGCACCUAGAUCCGCCGUGACAUGUCUACGUUCAACUUUGAAGUAGAGUUCAGGUAGGGCCAAGGAAUAAAUACACCCGUGACAUGUCUACGUUCAACUUUGAAAUAGAGUUCAGGUAGGGCCAAGGAAUAAAUACACCACAUAUCACAUAUGUCAAUAUCUAAUCUAUUAACAUCGCUAUCAAACACACUGAUUUUUAUUUCCAAUCCAUUUAAAUUUAUAAAUACACCACAUAUCACAUAUGUCAAUAUCUAAUCUAUUAACAUCGCUAUCAAACACAUUGAUUUUUAUUUCCAAUCCAUUUAAAUUUACAGUAAUUAUUUAAUUAUAAUAUUAUUUAGGAGAGGGAAGAAAUUUUCUUGAUCAGAUACUAUUUCUUGAGUAGAUUUGUGCAGGUUUUCAAUUAUUUUUACUAAUUUGUUAUUUAUCCAUACUCGCUAAUUUCAAAUUUAUUAAAAAUAAGGAUUAAUUGUUGCUUGUUAUUAGCUUGUCUGGUUAUAGGAAAUUAGUGCUUGACGGAACAAAGGAGUUUUUGUUUCCAAUAAAUUUGAUAAGCUACGUGGAUUGUUUAAUUUAUUAUUGAAAAUAAUUAAACAUUGACAACCAAACCAUGUUGAUUUUGGUACAUCCCUUCUUUUAUUUAUUUAUUUUUUUCCGUGUUCUAGCAAUAUCAUUUAGGCCUUGUUAGGUAGAAAUUUUGAGAAUUGAUUUUUUUAUUGUUAGGAGAAAAGUGGGGGUUGCCUGUGAGAGAAUAAAUCAAAAAUUACAACAGAAAUAGUAAAAUAACGAUCAAAAAAUUAAUUUUUUUGAGUGAAAAAUCACUCUCAAACACCCCUUUAAUUUGUACGAAAAAUAUUAUUAGUUGGAGCACUUAAGAAUUUCUAGAUAUUAUAGGCGGCUUUGAGAGAGCUUGCAAUGUGAACACUACAAAUUAAGUCAAUCAACAUGUACCAGCAUUGUCUUGUUAGGAAAAGUUUUGAACAUAAAGGCAGACCAAAAGUCUGACUUCCCUGGGAUGGGAUGUCCCUCCAAUAUUUAAUUUCCUCGUCAGUUUAUGAAGAAUGAAUUAGUCGUGUACACACUAAUUUUUCACAAAAGAAUUCCAAAAAACUCAUAGGAUGGAUGGGUAUGUUUUGUAAUUUUUUACUCACAUAGAACCCAUCCAUGAAAGUGUUUCGUAGGGCUAUGCUAAAGAAGAAGAAGAAUAGGGCUAUGCUAUCUAUACAAUUUUAGUGUAUAUAAUCGUUUACACCCCCUCACAUGGAAAGGGGCUCGAAUAUAAUUUAUUAUGUGUGGACCUCCUCCAUGUAAGGAGUGUAAAGGAUUAUGUACAACAAAAUUGUACAAAUAGACUAAUUCUUGUAAGGAUCAUACUGUGUGCACACGACUUUACAUUCCCUCACAUGGAGGGGAGCCCACACAUAAUAAAAUAUUCGUGGACCCCCUCCAUAUGAGGGGGAUGUAAAGCUGUGUGUACACCGACAUUUUCUUUCUUGUAAAUAUCUGCACAUUUUGCAUUGGAAAUCAUUGUCAAAGAAUCAAUAAUUGAUUAAUGAUAGCCUACCAUUCAAAUUUUAUAGAGUAUGGGACAACCUUGCAAAGUCAUUAAUUUAAGGUAUUGAUAGCAAAAUUUCCAUUGAACCUAUAAAGUAAAUGCUUACUGCAAAGAACUUUGCUACAUGUACACUUUGUCACGUGUCAUUAUUCUAUUUGACAGUUUAAAUUUCAAACAGUUUUUUCAUCCAAUUGACACUUGACAACAACGCAUAUGUCAACUAAAGUGUCAAAAAUCAAUGUAUAAAUAACAAUGUUCUACUGCAAAAGUAUUGUUUUAGAAUAAAGCUGGUUGUAUAGGGCCACAUACCAGCAGAGUCUGAAUUAUUCUCUUUUUUCUUAGGUGGUGGAUGGGUGGAUAGUAGUUGUGCACUGGUAGCUUUAUAUCAAUGUCCAGUGUAUUGUUCCAUUGUUUGGGUGAAGUUAAAAGAGCUGGUGGCUGGCACCAUGCUUUUGAUCUAUAUUCAGUCAAUAAGAAUGGGCCAUAAUGUUAGUAAUUUAGACUAUCGGGCGAACAUGCUUAAGAAGGAAAAUUAAAAAAUUGUCUUGAACCUUAUAAGUUACAUAUGAUUAUAUUUCUAUGUACUUGGCUCGCAGGCUCAGUAUUAAAUUAAAGAUGGGCGAUUGAACAAUCCUCAAACAUUAUGUUUAUCAUUUUGCAAGCAAGGAAGCAAAAAUAGUUAAGAUGUCCUAACUUAAGUGUGUGUGCCACAUUAUUUUGAAAGAAUGUAUGUUGAAAUGGUAAAAUGAUGGAGAAUUAAUAUUAAUUUAUUGAAUAAUGCGUGGUUCAAAUAAUGUCAAAUCACUGUUUAAAAAUGUAUUUUCUCCAAAAAAAUUGCAGCUCAAACGGGGACUAAGUGCCUUUUGACUGAAAAUAUAGGGCCUAUUUGGUAGGAUUUUUUGAAAAGUCAAAAGCAACUCUGAUAUAUUUGGAUAAUUUUCUAAAUGUGCUUUGUUUGACUAUAAGAGCUUUUAGAGAAAGUUGAUCUGAAUCAGCUUUGUCAUAAAGCUCUUCUAAAAGAACUUAAAGGAAAAGCAGCCCCUACCAAUCAUGUCCAUAAAAUAAACGUAUAUUUCUUGUAAUUGUAGGAAUAAAAGCCCAAAGUCGUGUAUAAUGUCUCAUCUUCUCGCUCUAUAUAUACCAGUGUAUUUUUCAGCCUAAUGACUCUUAAGCCAAGAGGAGAUGAUAACAGUUGCCAAGAUGUCAAGAGCUUUUUUUAGUUUUAUGUUCACCUUGACUCUAUUACUUUUCUUCGAAGCAACAACUGUUUUAGCACAGAGUGGAUCUCUUCCUGAGGAGGAGAGUAAGUCUCACUUCUUUCUUAUAAACCUUUUUUCCUAUCCCCCUUCGCGUGUAGUUAGGAUUUCUAUGAUUUUCGAACAAUUUUUGCCCUUCCAUUCAACUUCUGCUUGCUUAUCUCUAAAAAUUCGCUUUGUUCACCAUGCAUCGAAUCACAUUUCAAUAGUAAUUGAGUUCCAAUUUUUCCAGAAAAUGCUCUUCAAGAAAUAGCUGAUCAGGUGGGAAAAAAGGAUUGGAACUUCAGCCUGAAUCCUUGUGACGGGAACUCAAACUGGUCGACACCAAAAAGAAAUGAUAUGCCAUGGUACAACAAUUCUGUCAUCUGCAAUUGUUCUUUCCUUGGCGGCGUAUGCCACGUAGAUAUUCUGCUGCUACAUUGAUCUUGAAGCAGGAAAAUAUAUGGUGGUUGAUUAUCUGUUUACCAAUCUGCAAAAAUAAUACUUUCAUGGGAAUAUAUUAUAUUUCUUUCAUGUUUAACCCCACAUGAACUUACGGUGCCUAAUAAUCAAACUUGACCUUUCUGCUCUGUUUUAUAUUGCUUGAGUCUAUCAUCAUAAAUUACAAUCAGGAUCUGCUCUUAACAUGUGUAUCUGAAUUUCUUCAAUAAUCAGUGCUAGUGAUAUAUUCAUAAAAAAAAAAAAAAAAGAAGAAGUUCCAGAAUGCAACUUUAUUUCACCAUGUCAAUGUUACAAGUUACUUUUUCGAUCUUUAAGUUUGAGUCAAAAGUGAAAUUGCAUAAAAUUUGUAGUGUACUCUAGACGAAGCACCAUAAGAAGUUGCUUAACUUCAAACACUAGGUGACAUGAAAUACAUCGCUUUACCUGGGAAAAUCCUUCUGUUUGAUUUAUUGCUUGGUUUCUUAGACCUUUCAAGAAACUUUUCUUCGUGUGUUGAUAUACUUGUAUAUUAAAUUUGAUAUCAAAUUUCAUCAUUUCAAUUUAGAGUACUCUAAUGAGAGACUCUUUUUCUCUGCAAACAGAUUUCUUAGAGGACAGGAUUUAGCAGGUGUCCUUCCACCCUCCCUAUCGAAGUUACCCUACAUCAAGACAAUGUAGCAAGAAUUUCCAAGUUUAUGUUCAAUUUAUUAUAAUCUACUCAACUUUUUGCUUCAAAAUGAUGAGCCAAUUUAUUGGCUUCAUCGAUCUCACUCUUAAUCUAUUGGCUGCAGUGAUCUUUCUCGCAACUACCUCAGUGGUACAAUACCCAAGGAAUGGGAAUCUACCAAUUUGGAAUACGUGUGAGCUUUCCCUGUAGCUUCGUCAUUGAGAUUUUGAUGUAAUGUCUAAAUUCUUAGUUAUAUUGACAAAGUAUAUGUGAUUUUUAGGUCUCUUAUCGUGAAUCGCUUAUCUGGACCCAUACCAAAAUACUUGGGAAACAUUACUACCCUUGUAUAUUUGUGAGUUCCUGUCUAGCAUUCAGAUAUUCUAUUUCAUUUUGACAUAAUUCUAAUUAUAAUUUUGAAAUCUAUUGAACUUUCAGGAGCCUGGAGGGCAAUCUGUUUAAUGGGACCAUUCCAACAGAGUUAGAGAAGCUGGUUAAUUUAGAAAAUAUGUAAGACCUUUUUGAUCAUCCAUAUUUUAAAGAAUUAUUUGAUCGAAUUCGUUGAAUUUAUAUUAUGUUCUGUUUCACUUUUUUCGUCCUUGCAGCAUUCUAAGUGAUAAUAAUCUCACUGGUGAGUUGCCGAUUGAAUUAAAUAAUCUGAAAAAGUUGACAGAACUGUAAGUAUGUUACCACACCUUUCUUGAAUUAUAAAGUAAUUCAGCUAUCGUGGGAUAACAAGUGUUUUGGGGGCCAAUGCAGUAGGCUAAGCAGUAUUAACUUCACUGGAAAAUUACCUAGUUUCAAGAGCUGGGCAAACCUUCAGAAGUUGUAAGUCCUUUUCCUGAGAAAUAUAUUUCCAAAAUGAAAAAUUUGCAGUUUCGACUUUUGUUUAUGUGACAUUGCUUAUCAACAGAGAGAUACAAGGGAGUGGUUUUAAAGGCCCCAUACCUCGCAGUAUUUCCAUCUUGAAAAAUUUAACUGAACUGUGAGUUGAAACCUAUAGAGUCACCUUUCAAUUUCUCAAUCUUUCAGUAACCAUAUUACGUUCAUUUACUUAACAUUAUUAUUGAAGAUGAAAAUUGAUCUAAUGUGAUAUCUUUGCAGAAGGAUUAGUGACUUGAAUGGAGGUGCUUCAGAGUUUCCACUGCUAGGAGAAAUGAAAAUGAUGAAUAUCUUGUGAGUAAAUAUCAUAUUAAAAGCUGAUAAUUUCUAUCAUUGAACUGCAUAUUUAAUAAAUGUGUUGUGUUCUUGCAGGAUGUUAAGGAGCUGUAACAUAUCUGGAAACAUUCCUAGGUACCUUGCAGAUAUGGCAUCAUUGAAGAUUCUGUAAGUACAGAUUCUAGUACUCUUCUUCUUUUUACAUAAUGCAAGAGCUUGCCACUAUUCUUUUUACAAGACGAAUAUCUGGAAACCUUGUAAGUUUGGUUUUUCUCCUGUGCUUCCACUGGUUUUCUGCCGAUCUAUUUCUUUCUUUCUGGAUAUCAUACAAAAUUAAGAUUCACUUUGUUGCGUUACUAUAAAUAUGCACUGCCAUAUAGUUCUUAAGUAGAGAAACUCUGUGCUUGAUUUAAAGAUAUACUCUGUGGUGUAUUCACAGAGAUCUGAGCUUUAACAAGUUGAAAGGAGAGGUUCCAAAUCUUGAAGGCCUAUCAAAACUAGAGACCAUGUGAGCAAAUUAGUUUAUUUAAUUAAUUUGUCUGACAUUCACCUUUCAUAUACUGAAGCACGUGUCAUUCAAAUAUACCCCUGUACAUGUGUUCUUGCAUGAUAUUCUGCGCAUUAUUCAUGUUAUGUUGCUUCAGAAUCUUCAUUUACUCUUAAAAUGUAUAAUUUUGUGGCUGUGAUUAGGUAUCUGACUAGUAACUUCCUUACCGGGCCAAUUCCAGAGUGGAUCAAGAGCAAAAAUCCUAAACAGUAAGUUCACUUCUAUGUUUCUUAUUAAAAUAUCAACUUAUAUCUGUGAUUCAUUAGCAGCAUUAUCCAUCAUCCAUGACGGUGUCCAAAAAUACUCAUGUAUGUAAGCAAUUAACCCUAAUACCAAGAUUUUAGAAUUUCAUGAUUUUCAUGAGUAAAUUUAAUUGAUCAAAAACAUACCUUGAUUCAUGACAAUUAAUUGAAGAUUUAGGUUUGCAAAAAUAAGAGAAACAAGAAAAUAAGAAACCGUUCUCUUUCUCUUUUCUUCUCUGUAAUUGAAUGUAUUACUUGAUGUGUUCCAUUCACGUUUAUACACACAGAGAGACAGUUUCAUCGGCCAUUAAAAUAAUUGUCCACCUUCCAUCAAAGUGGAUAAUUAUAAAAAUGUUACUUCUCAAUGAGCCAAUAGGAUUUUAGCAAUAAAUAAACCAAUUUAAUUAAUUGUCUUAUAAUAUUCCACAGGCCACAAAAUUAAUUGAGUUUACAUUGUUGAUCUUUUGAUUUCUUGCAAGUGGACAUGAUCGUAAACAAGUAAUAAAGUGAUGUAUAGAGUGUCGAGCCCACAAAGACUACGCAUUUGAUCGAGUUAAAGCUAACAAUGCCCUUAAUUGAAUAGUAAAAUCAAGUGGUAAUUAAACACUAUUAAAUCUAUCAACUAACUUAAAAGCAAUGUGAAGAAGAUAUAUCAAAUUCGUAAGACGUAUUGUUAAGAUAUAGAAUUUCCAUUGUUAAUCCAUUUUUAGUUCAACAAUUUAAAUGGACAAUUUGAAAUCAUGCUGGUUGGUCAAUGUUCCUAUUUUAUUUAAAGGCUUCCCUCGAUAGCCUUUAGAUCUAAUCCUACAGUGAUUUUUCUAUAUCUUUAUGAAAAAUAAGAACGUACAAGCAAGCAUUAAACGAGUUAAAACAUUUAUAAAAAUUAUGUGAAGCAUACAUGUAUAUUUCUAUUCUCUAUCAAACCUCACAAUAUUUAUUACUAUGUGUCAAUGAUCUUAUUAUCUCUCUCGAUGACAAUAAUACCCACGAACAAUUCAAUUAAUAGCCAGUUAAUUGAAAAGCAAAUAAAACAAUAAUAAAUAUCCAAAAAAACUAAACAAAUUAGUGUCAAAUUAAUUAUUCAAACUAAAAACUUCUUAACAAUGGUUCAUCACAUCCCAACAAUAUUAAAAAGUUUAGCCAAGCAUAUUGUCGAAAUUAAACACGCAAAAGUUAAAAAAUAUCCCCAAACUUUGAUGGAACGUAAUUAAAGUUGAAAAAUUGAAUCUGCCUUUUUUCCUACUGUAGUCGCCAACUGCUUCCAAUUUUUAUGUCCAGCAGCUAUAUGUUAAUGUUUUAUCUCCAAAUUCAGCAGCCAAUUGCGUUCAAAUUCUACCUUUUUCUGCGUGUAUAAUCUCCCUCAAGUUUUCUCCAAAAAUUGCCGACUUGUCUUGCAAAUUUUCAGCCCUUUUUUCCUUCAAAAUCAGCCCUAUUUUCCGCCUCAAAGUUGCUACAAGUUUCUAUGUUUUCUUUCCCCAAAAUAGCUGCCCAUUGUGGGUCUGAUUCCACCAAGUUGGCUACGUUUCUGGUGUGUAUAAAAUUCCAGCACGCAACUCGUUUUUAUUUCCUCAAUAUGCUACAAUUGUUGACUUGGAAAUCCAACAAAUCAGCCGCCGUAUCCUGUUUCUAAAGUAUAUAAAUUCCAGCAGGCAUCUCGUUUUCUCUUCUUCAGUUGUCUGCUCCCUCUUUUCUUUCUUUUCUGCAUAUGAGAUAUAGCCAUGUUUGAUCCCCAUUAAAUUACAUUCCAUUACAUUCUAUUUUUCUCUUCUAUUUUCAACCACAUAAUUUUUCAUAAAAUAAUAUUAUACGUAAAUCGAAAAAUUUUCCUUAUUUUUCAACCACUCAUUUUUUCAACAAAACACUAUUCCCGUUUGGGAAUAGUGUUUUGCGGGAAUAGUGUUUUCUUGAAAAAAUGAGUGGUUGAAAAAUAAGGAAAAUUUUUCGAUUUACGUGUAAUAUUAUUUUAUGAUAAAUUGUGUGGUUGAAAAUAGGAGAGAGAAAAAUAGAAUGUAAUGAAAUUUAAUUUAAUGGGGAUAAAACAGGGGCAAAAUGGCUGCCUCUUUCUUCUCCAAAGACUGUCUUUGAUUUCUUUCCCAAAAAUCAGCUCCAAAGGCCGUCGUUUUUUUUGCCUUAAGCGUGUCUAUAGGUCAGUUUUAUAGCAAUUCAGCCCAAUAUUUUACCCCCAAGAGAGAUUCAAUUGUCCUUCAAUUUAAGGUCUGCCACGUCUCUUUUUUUUUCUCCAAGAGUCCAAAUCACUUUUAACUAGACCAGCAGCAGUCCAUUACAACUUAAAGUUGAGGCCCAUUAUGGUGGUAUUUGUUUUCAAGUCCUCAAUUUUUAUCCAAUGACCAAUUUAAUUCCCAUGCUUUAGUUUUGCCAUUUUUCGGCAAAUUUUUGCUUCUUUCCUUCACUUCUUUUUUCAUUUAUAGAGUUUACCCAUAAAACAUAAAAGACAACACUUUAGGAUAUAAUUUGUCAAAAGAACUAUCAAAUAUUGUUAUUUUAGGGUCCCCGAAUAAGUAUAUAAAAUACGCUUAUCAAUUGUCCCACUUGGCUCGUGUAAUACUAUAUCAUUACGUGGUUUAUAACAUAAUGCACAUAGCUCCUUCCAGAUACUAUAAUAUUAGUCCCCACCUAACAUGACAUUAAUGAGAAGUUAGAUAAUUACAUUUCAAUAAUAUCUUUGAAAAGACUAUUCCUGUCAGCAUUUAUAUAAUAAAUUCAUGUACAUACCUCAACUAUUAUGGCAUGAAUAAUAUUUUGUCAAAAACAAUAUAUAAAAGAGCUCAAAGUGUCAAUUACAUAAAUUUCAUAAUGUCAAUGAUAAUUUUCGAUAUUGCCCAUCCUCUCGAUAUGUUCAUUAAAUGUCUUUGGCGGCAAUCCUUUCAUUAGUGGAUCUGCAAUCAUAAGAUUGGAGCUAAUAUACUCGAUUGACACCUUUUGUAUGUGAACUUCUUUAACGCAAUGUACUUCGAUUCCGUGUGUUUAGCACAUUUGACGUACUUGUCGUUCUUUGAAAUGAAAACUGCUGUAGAAUUGUCACAAUAAAGUUUUAGCGGCUCGACAAUACUGUCGACAAUCUCAAGCCUUGAAAUAAAGUUUUGCAGUUAGCUCCCUUGAACUGUGGCCUCAAAGCAUGCCACAAACUCAGCUUUCAUAGUAAAUGCUGCAAUGAUUGACUGCUUUGCACUUUUCCAUGAUAUAGCUCCUCCAGCUAAGAGGAACAGAUAGCCAAAUGUAGACUUUCAAGUAUCUACAAAUCCAGCAAAGUCUAAAUCUGAAUAUCCAAUGACCUCAAAGCUAUCAGAUAUUCUAUAAGUGAGCAUGUGGUCUUUUAUUCCUUGCAAGUAUCUCUAUACUUUCUUUGAAACUUUCUAAUGAUCAAGUCCUGGGUUACUUUGAUACAUGCCCAGCAUUCUGACAGUAAAACUGAUGUCUGGCCUAGUAUACGUUUGAGCAUACAUUAAGCUCCCAACAAGAGAUGCAUAAGGAAUAGUUGUCAUUUGUUUGUGUUCCAAUUCGUUCUUUGAACAUUGCAUGAGACCAAAUUUGUCUCAUUUCUAAAUUGGAACGACACUCGCUGAACAAUCAAAUCUCUCUAAAACUUUAUUAAUAUAUGCUUUCUGAGACAACCCUAACAAUCUUUGCUACCUAUCUCGGAAUAUUUUAAUUUCAAUUACAUAGAUUGCCUCUCCUAUAUCUUUCAUUUCCAAAUUUUUAGAGAGAAAUUUAUUAGUCUUGUAUAACAUACUAAGAUCAUUAGUAGUUAGCAAGAUGUCAUCAACAUACAGAAUCAAAAAUAUAAACUUGCUCUCACUGACCUUUAGAUAUAUACAAUGAUCAACGACGUUUUCCUUAAAUCCAAAGGAAGUAAUGGUAUCGUUGAACUUAAGAUACCAUUGACGGGAAGCUUGUUUAAGUCCGUAUAUUGAUUUCUUUAACUUACACACAUAUGUUCCUUUCAUUUAACUGAAGCCUUCAUGUUGAUUCAUAUAAACUUCUUCAUCUAAAUUUCCAAUUAGAAAAGUAGUUUUCACAUCCAUUUGAUAUAACUAUAAGUCAUAAUCAGCUACUAAAGCCAUUAUAAUUGUGAGUGAGUCUUUCUUAAAGACUGAUGAAAAUGUCUCCUUAUAAUCAAUGCCACAUUUCUGAGUCCUUUGGCAACAAGUCUAGCUUUAUAUCAUUCGAUAUUAUCAAUAGAGUCGAGCUCAAUCUUAAAGACCCACUUACACCCAAUUCUUUUACAUGAUUCAGGUAAUUCAACAAGAACCAAGACUUCAUUGUGCUCCAUAGAUUUCAACUCAUCUUUCAAAACAUCUAACCACUUAUCAGAAUUAGCACUCUCAAUGGCCUGUGAAAAUGAAACCGGAUCAUCAUCAACAAUUUCUAAAGCCAAAUUUAGACUCUUGUAGGCAAACCACACAAUCAUCAGAAAUAGUAGGUCUACGUUGUCUUUGUGAGCUUCUUAAUGCUAUUUCUUGUGGUUCAUUUAGUGUAGGUUCAUCAGCAACAACUUCAUUGUGGGAUGUUUGAUCAUUUAUUUGUUGGUCUGGCAAAUUGUCACACUAUCAACAAUUCGAGUAACAACAAUAGGAGAAGAAGUUAAGGGUGGAGAAACAUGAACUCCAACUUCUUGUAUUUCCACAUUUCGUGGCUCCAAAAUCCCACUAACUUUACCAUUUUCAAUGAACCUAACAUUUCCAAUUUCAACAAUUAUAGAACUAUGGUUAGUACAAUAAAAUCUUUACCCUUUCAAUUUUUUUUUGGAUAAUCAAUGAAAAAUCCACUGAUUGUUCUCGAGUCUAGUUCUUUUCAUGCCUUACGUUUUAGGAAGUCCCUUUUUUAAUGCCUAGGUUUGCGAUCGAAAUGACAUGUAUCUUUCUUGUGUUCCUUAUUAUAGAUUUGGACAGAAGACUCAUUUUAUCUUUAGUGGUCCUUACUUAAUGUCUUUUCUAGACCUUUUCUUAUAUUUUUUUUCCAGCUCAUUGAUGACUUACGAGAUGAACUGAACGAGGUCCUUGAUUUUUAAGCCUUGUCUCCUUUUGCACGAGCAUACUGUGCAGUUCAUUCACAUUUCAUUUAUUCUUUUAAGAUAUUAUAGUUCAUAUGGAAUUGACCAUACUUGGGAAGCGAGGAGUUGAUGAUACACUGUGCCAGAAAAUUUUCAUUCACAGUCAUCCCAAGAGUUUUAAGUCUUGCUGCAAUGUUACUGUUUUCAAUAACAUGCUCAUGCAUAGUACGAGAAUCAUCAAAUUUCAUGGUGGUUAGGGUGCCCAUCGGCGUGCCAGCAAGUGACUUGUCAACUAUUUGGGAACGUUCUUCCACAAACAUCAUACAUUUCUUAGCAAUCUAAGUUUUAAGAAUAGGAAGCUUGAUAUUUUUUGCUAAGUUCAUCCGCAUAAAUAUUAGACUUAAUCUGUUUGACUUUUCCCAAGUGGUGUAAAAAGAUAUUUCAUCAGCACUGUUCUCAUCAGUGAGAUUAGCAGGUUUCUCAACUUGAAGCGUCAAGUCUAAGUCCAAAACAUCUAAGUUGAGCUAGACUUGUUCGCACUAGUUAGAAAAAUUGAGCCAAUUGAACAGUGGUACAGAUGAAGCUUAUGAACGCAGAGAAACAAGAAAAGAUACUACAAAAUAUAAUAUGCUCUAACAUUAAUGCUUUGAGUUUAGAUUUAAACAUUUAAGUUCAUAUUCAAAUAACAAUAAAUGUAUAGGGUGAUACUACAUUAUACCAUCAUAAUAAACAUAAUGAUACUAAUUUAAUUUCACUUAAUUAGUAAUGAAAUAUACUUUAAUCAGACAUGUCUGUCAUCUAUGGAUAUACAAAACACUUCUAAAUAAGUAUAUCAAUUAGUCAUAAUCAUGUUCAAGAUUAAUAAAAUUAAUUGAUCAACCUUUGGGCGAUCCAUAAUAAUUUUAUAAUUAUGAACGUCAAUAUUCUCUUGAGAAUGAUAAUUAUAUAAUUAUGAACGUCAAUAUACUCUUGAAAAUAUUAAUUGUUAUGCUCCUAUCUAAACCACUUCGGAAAGUUUGCCACUGCGUCAUACGAGGUGUCCAACACCCAUCUGAAGUGGUUUCGAAGUGACACCUCCAUUAAUGUUGGUGAGCUGCUAACGCGCUGCGAGGCACAAACAAUUUUACUGAACCAACCGAAGCGUUCUUGCCUCUGACGCCGAAGCGCAAUGCACUCCGAGGAUCUCUGUCAGAGUAUUCGCCGUCAAUUUCAGAAGGAGAUCUGUGUUAAGAUCCUUUCUGCCCCAAGGUUUAAUUCGUCUCCAUGGGCCUAGUUGAUGUGACGUAUCAACUUUAUGUCAACUGAACUUAGGAAAAGUUAUUACCCGCCCACUUUAUAGACGCGACUGAUUAAAACCCAUGAGAAGACACAUCACACCGUUAGAUGUAUACACGUGUCCCACAUCUAACGGUCUCCUCAACUAUAAAUACCCAAGGUUUGAUAAGAGGCAAAGGCAAUGAAACUCUUACAACUUAGCUCUCCAUAACAAGUAAAUAUAUAUUCUCCUUCCCACCUUUUUUGCACAACCUUGGCACUGUUCCGAUCACCAGAAGCUAACUUGAUCGUCAGAGUGUAUGCGGCCGCCACCACCCUCGCUGGUUCCGACCGUGUGCAUCUGACCGUGCGUUCAUUGUGCGCAGGGAGGAUUACGUGGAGCAGCUAUCGAUUGGCCACAUGGAGGGUCCAAUUCGCUAGGUCAACAGAUUGGCUCCGUCUGUGGGAAACUUCCCAUCCAAAGUUCUAUAUUCUCCAUCGAAAAAGCCACUGAAAAACCCUUGACUUACCCUAAAAAUGGGACGUUCUUGAAAAAGAACAAAAUCGAAUUACAAUCCAGAUCCUCAUCACCCUUGAAAAGGGGUAGAUAAGAUGAGUUCCAGCAAUGAGAACGCAAACCCCAGGAUGGACGCCUCCGAAGAGGAGGUGCUCCGAAACAAUGUCACUUACCAAAGACCCCAUCACCGACGUCGUCGAAGUGAAAGAACAGCCAUGCUCACUAAAGGAAUGGCCCAAAUAGCUGCGGGCGUGAGAGAGAUCGCAGCUCAUAAUAUGGCGAUGCAUGAAUUCUUCAUGUGAGCCCAAGGUCACCAGGGCGCCCAAAUGUCCCAAGAAUCUUACCCAACUCGUGAAGUCCCUGCAUCUCGUUCCUGAGGCCAUAUGAGCCAGCACAGAGAACCCCCCUCGAGAGAGAAGUGGGUACGAAAGUCACAUCCGCCAGCUAGCAGAACCGCAAUUGGGGGACAACUUCCCACCAGAAUAUGAAGCAGAAAGGUCAGUCAGUGUCUUUGACCGGAUAGGGCGUGACCCUAGUAAUAGGGUACGCUCAGUGAAAAGAUUAGUUCGACAAGGGGAAGAGCAAGAACAAGCGCCUCUUCCACCUAGAAAUAGGAAAGAGAGAAGCAACUUAGUAUUAUAGGAUAGCCGAUGAAGAGCACCUCUACCCCCCAAAACAUGCAAGAUGAUGGGGACUCCGAAUGGCCGUGUUGAUCUUACGAGAUUGAUGAUGAUAAUGAUAAUCUCCCUUUCUCAAGAGAGAUCCGAGGCUUCCCAAUGCCUGCGAACUUCAUACCACCUAAAAUCUCCAAGUAUGAAGGAAAAGGGGACCCGUAAAAGCACCUCACGAAGUACAUGACACAGAUGAGUCUCAGGAGAGCCUCGCCUGCUUUGAAAUGCAGAGCCUUCCACCUAACCCUGGCCGGAGUCGCUGAAGUGUGGUAUAGCAGGCUGCCUCCCCUGAGCGUUAGGAGUUGGUCAAAGCUAAAAAAGGCCUUCUUGAACUAGUACCUCUCACGUAGAGAAGGAGAGGCCUAGUACAACGCCUACAAGAUAUGAGACAAGUCUCUGGAGAAACGUUAAAAAGCUACCUCGCUAGGUUUACGGAUGAGAUCACCUACUGCGAACAGGUCACUGACAGAGAAGCCCUUUCAGUCUUGAAAGCCGGCCUCAACAUGAACAUUUUUUUCUGGAGGGAUGUGCGCAGCAAGAAUCCUACCACUUAUAACGAACUGGUGGAAAUGAUGAGAGUUGAGAUCGUCAGUGAAGAGAUGAUUGAUCACCGAAAUCGUACCGCACGGGGACUUUGUCUGCCUCAGAGGCAGGUAGGCCGAGGACUUGCAGCGCACCUUGUCACCCAGCAAUGGAUCCAGGCAGGGCAUACAAUAGCUUCCACGUCCGAACAGGCACUAGCUUCUGUUUCGCUAAAUGAAGUGCCAGUAUUGACAUACGAGAAUGCCCUUGCUGAGGCGGGACCAUCUAGGGGUACUGAUAGUAGUCGAAAAAAGAAGAAGAAGUGGUCAAGCAGGCCCUUAGAAGGGGCAAGGUUCUACACCUUCCACCAACUCUAUGGACAUGACACCAGCAAAUGCAAAUGUAGAGAUGGCACUCAGAUCGGAAUAACCUACAUCCUUCUAGGAGGGACGAAUAUCCCUGCAGAUCCGCCUCCUCGAACAGGGCUGAAAGGAGGCAUAAAGAUCAAUCACCCCGAAGAAGAGGAUUGAGGGACAGAGGAAAGUCCGGACAGAGAGAUCAGGCCCCAUUUUCUGGAGGCCAAAUCAUCAAGGAAAUUGACACGAUCAUUGGGGGACCUCACAUCGGCAGCAACACUAGAAAUGUUCAAAGGAAUGUUCAAAGGAACUACACAAGGGAAGCAAAGGAUCCAUCGAUGCUCACGACAUUGUCAACUAAUCCCAAGAAGCCAACAGGAUGGCUCCAAUUACCUUCUCCCAAGAAGAUACACAAGGAGUUCACCACACCCAUUGUGACGCAUUGGUAGUAAGAGUCGUAGUAGCAAGAAACAGACUCAAACGCAUGCUUGUGGACAAUGGCAACUCGGUGAACAUACUGUUUGGCUCUACCUUUGACAAAAUGCAAAUUGAACACGGGCUAAUCCCCAUGACCAACCCACUAUUUGGAUUUACUGGAGACAACAUCAUCCCACGAGGAUAAAUUACUCUACCCGUCGAUAUGGGUUCAGCUCCCCUAGUGGCCUAACAUUUCAUGGAGUUUUUGGUAGUAGACCGCAAGUCAGCCUACCACGGAGUAUUGGGCAGACCCGUCUUGAAAGAUCUUUGGGCUAUCACCUCUAUACAUUACUUGUGUAUGAAGUUCCCAACUGGGCAUGGAAUUGCAACAGUUCGAGGCAACCAGAUAGGCUCCAGAGCAUGUUAUCUAAACUCUCUGCAAAAAUAUGAGCCCCACACUGUUAAUGUAAUCAUAACGGAGGCUGCGAACAAAUCUGACCUGGAUGUGAAAAUGCUCGAUGCCCCUGAAAUAGGGUAUACCUCCGAACAGGAGGAAGACGUCGACAUGAAAGAGGCCCUUGAAGAAGGGCAUCCUCUUGACGAAUUAGACCCCCGAAUAACUGGCUCAGAACCAAACGCGACCCCAAUGGAAGAACAUGAAACUUUUUCCAUCAACCCAGAGGACUCCUAUCAGGUCCUACGGAUAGGAAAGACGUUGUCCCCCGAAGCGAAAGAACAAAUGAUAGGCUUCCUGAAAAGGAACAUGGAUAUCUUCGCUUGGAAGCACGAAGACAUGUUAGGAAUAGACCCAAGGAUCAGUUGCCAUCGCCUAAACAUCAACGCCUCUUGUGCCCUACAUCGGCAGAAAAGACGAGUCUUCAAUCCGGAGAGGUACGAGGUGCUCAAAAACGAAGUCAAUAAGUUUAACCACAGUGGUUUCAUCAGAGAAGUCAUUUAUCCGAAGUGGAUAUCCAAUCCGGUCCUUGUGAGGAAGCCUAGCAAGAAAUGGAGGGUGUGCAUAGACUUCACAAACUUAAACAAAGCAUGCCCUAAGGAUAGCUUCCCACUGCCGAGGAUAGACCAACUUGUGAAUUCUCCUGUCGGACAUGAACUCUUGAGCUUCAUGGAUGCGUACUCAGGAUACAACUAGAUAUCCAUGUUUCGACCUGAUGAGGAGGCCACGUCGUUCAUCACAGACAGAUGACUGUACUACUACAAAGUUAUGCCUUUCGGAUUGAAAAAUGCCAGAACUACAUAUCAGAGGCUGGUCAACAUGAUGUUUGCCGAACUUAUUGGCAAAACCAUGGAAGUCUACGUGGACGAUAUGCUAGUCAAAAGUCUCCAGGCGAAUGAACACGUAAGUCACCUCGACGAGACCUUUCAGAUUCUUAGGAAAUACAAAUGAAAUUCAACCCCCUCAAAUGCAUCUUCAGCGUGGCUUCGGGUCAAUUUUUGAGGUACAUUGUGAACCAAAGGAGAAUCGAAGCAAAUCUGGUAAAGAUUAGGGCCUUACUGGAAAUGAGGUCACCUCAGAAGUUGAAGGAGGUCCAGAGCCUCAAUGGUCGAAUAGUUACGCUCAGUCGCUUCAUCUCCAGAGCCACUGAUAAAAGCCUACCCUUCUUCAAAAUGUUGAAGCAAGGGAAGAAGUUCCAAUGGACCGAUGAGUGCAAGGAAGCCUUCCAAGCGCCGAAGAAGCACUUAGGAGAGGGGCUUCUGUUAUCUAAACCUAAACAACAGGAAUCACUACUGCUAUACUUGGCGGUCUCGGAUGAGGCAGUCAGCGCAAUCAUAGUUAGAGAAGAAGACGAGCAUCAAUUGCCGGUAUACUAUGUCAGCAAAGCACUAUUUUUGAUAGAGACUCGCUACCCGAGCAUGGAAAAACUAGCACUCACCCUCAUCACGGCGUCAAGGAAACUGAGGCCAUACUUCCAGGCCCACUCAAUCGAAGUUCUCACCAAGUCCUCCUUCUUCAAAGGACGGGCUCUCUUCCUCUUCGGUUGCCCCGGCACUUGGGCAAUUUGAACAGCAGCAACUGGGGCAGGAGAAGCCUCGGAGAGUGCAUGUGUCUUCUCCGGGAUGGCCAUCCCAGUGGGUAUGGUGGUUUGCUUCAGAAUCGGGGGUGGCCUCGCCACUGUUGGGCGCUUCGAAGGGCCAGCAGACUUCUUGCCCUUUCAUAACAAGUUGGCCUCCGGAUUCUCUGCCACCUCCUCCUCUGUCGGAGGCUGGAGCAUCUUGCUGGCAUCCACUAAAUCCUCCAUCUGCUUCUUGUAUGCAAAGGAGGAAGUCUUCAAGGCUCUCGCCUCUGCCAUCAUCUUUUAGAUGGUCUUGAAAUCAAGCCUCAGGGGCAUCUUCCUGUUAAAGUUAUCUGUAAAGAAAAAAACAAAUUAUUAAAAGUGUAAAGGGUCCAGAAAAUUCACUUCGAGAAAUUUACCUUGAGAAGCCAUCAAAUCGUACGUCACGAAGUGAAUGUUCUUCCUAAUCAGCUGGUGGUAUGACCUCUUCUUCGGAGGCAGCUGAUAGAUGAUGCAAAUGAUAUCGAAGUUGUCGGUGGAUAUCUCACACCGAGGAAGAGUGCCUUCAAAAGCUAACAAAUAGCAAUUACGAUCCAAAUCGAAGAAUAAUAAACAUAAAUGCAAAGCAACGGUACUCACUAAGUGUAGAAUACUUCGUGGGGACCGUAAGAGGCUCUAGGGAGGUCCCCCUCCAUUGUGUCCCAUCUGCCGGUAGCCCAGCACCACGAGCUCUUCCACUCCUUAAUGGAGUUCGGUAGAUUGAGCACGAAUGGAGUAUAGGAACCCCAUGAGGUCAGGUAAUACUAGCCCCUAGUCUUAUCCCCCCCCAGCCGGUACCUUGGGGAUGUAGAGGGUUUGGAAGACAGAAAAGGCAUCUCUAUCCCAAGCGACACCUCCUUCCAUAACAUCCAGGAGCCCAUCAUUUGGCUCCAAAAGUUCGGGUUCAACUGGGUCGGAGCUAAACCAUAAGACCUAAGGACUGGGUGGAAGAGAGGAUGGAUCGAGAGCCUAAGGCCAACCCUAAGAAUCGCUUCGCUAAUUGCUACGCAUCCUGGCCUAGGGUAGCAGGUUCUCUUAUCGAGUUUGGGUAGGAUCAGAUCUACACUGUCUGGAAUCCUAUAUUCCAUCCUAAGUCUAUCCAGGUCAGCACUUUUUAGCUUAGAAGGGUAAUCUGACGUCCCCCAAUGCACAGACGUGUCUACUGGACUAUUAGACCUCUUCCAGAUAUUCUCCCCCCCAAUUAUCGCUUCAAAAAGUUUGGAGGAGGUCGCCAAAAUGGUCUCGUCCAUUCGUACUAAUUCCAGCCCCCUCUCCGAGCUAUCAUUACCUUCAGAAGCCAUUUUUCAGAAAUGAAAGAUGUCAAAUACUUAUUGAAACUCACGAAAUGGGGGCUCCACAGUCGAAAAUGGUCAGGAAACACUGUAGAGUCGUCGAAAACUGGAGUUGUCAUCGGAAAAUGCUUGAAGAACGCCGAAAAAUGCAAGAGUUUUGAGAGCAAAUGGAGUUUCUGAUUUUGCAAAAGUGAAAAACUCCCCAAACGCUCAAGUCCGCCUUUUAUAGAGCGUCCCAACUGAUCUCCACCGUUGAAUUAAAAUGCAAUCAAUCUAGGCCGUCCGUCUCAUCAUCAAUCUAGGCCGUUGAAAUGGAACGCUAGAUUUGAUCUACGCCCAAGAUCUAGCUAUGACCCUCACGCUCACGUGAAACGCGUCGCCUCGAUCACCAUCAACCGUCUACAAUAAGUAGCUGCAGUAACCUUUUCUGGGAAUGGGCAUCACACACAACUGUCGCCUUAGAAAUAUGCGAUAACUGUCAAAUCAUUUAACGUCAAAAAUGUUCACCUCAGAUCAAGCAGAUGAGUUCCACACUUAGCUUUACAAAGCUUAGACGCACCUGACUCGAAGUUCCCUAUAGGUCAUCGCCUCGGUAGUUGCAUCUCCUCCUAAGCUUUACAAAACUUUAGUCAUCUUCCAACGCAUCGUCCUCUGUGGGUCAGCACACCAGUGGCAGAUGAGCUCCACACAGCUUUAAAAGCUUAGACGCACCAGAUGCGAAGUCCUCUGUGGGUCAUCACCUCGGCAGCUGCGUUCCCUCCUAAGCUUUACAAAGCUUUAGCCAUCUCCCAACGCGUCGUCCCCUGUGGGUCAGCGCACCGGUGGCAGAUGAGCCCCUCACUCAGCUUUACAAAGCUUAGACGUACCUGAUGCGGAGUCCCCUAUGGGUCAUCAUCUCAGUAGCUGCGUUCUCUCCUAAGAUUUACAAAGCUUUAGCCAUCUCCCGACGCGUCGUCCCCUAUGGGUCAGCGCACCGGUGGCAGAUGAGCUCCUCACUCAGCUUUACAAAGCUUAGACGCACCUGACGCGGAGUCCCCUGUGGGUGAUCGCCUCGGUAGCUACAUUCCCUCCUAAGCUUUACAAAGCUUUAGCCAUCGCCCAAUGCAUCCUCCCAUAUGUGUCAGCGCACCGGUGACAGAUGAGCUCCUUACUCAGCUUUACAAAGUUUAGACGCACCAGAUGCGGAGUCCCCUGUAGGUCAUUGCCUCAACAGCUGCGUUCCCUCCUAAGCUUUACAAAGCUUUAGACAUCUCUCAACGUGUCAUCCCCUGUGCGUCAGGGCACCGAUGGCAGAUGAGCCCCUCACUCAACUUUACAAAGCUUAGACGCACCUGACGUGGAGUUCCCUAUGGGUCAUCGCCUCGGUAGCUGCGUUCCCUCCUAAGGUUUACAAAGCUUUAGCCAUCUCCCGACGCAUCGUCCCCUGUCGAUCAGCGCACCGGUGGCAGAUGAGCUCCUCACUCAGCUUUAUGAAGCUUAGACGCACCUGACGUGGAAUCCCCUGUGGGUCAUCGCCUCGGUAGCUGCGUUCCCUCCUAAGCUUUACAAAGCUUUAGCCAUCUCCUAACGCGUCCUCCCCUGUGGGUCAGCGCACCGGUGGUAGAUGAGUUCCUCACUCAGCUUUACGAAGCUUAGACGCACCUGACGCGGAAUCCCCUGUGGGUCAUCGCCUCGGUAGCUGCAUUCCCUCCUAAGCUUUACAAAGCUUUAGUCAUCUCCUAACGCGUCCUCCCCUGUGGGUCAGCGCACCGGUGGCAGAUGAGUUCCUCACUCAGCUUUACAAAGUUUAGAUACACCUGACGUGAAUUUCCCUGUGGGUCAUCGACUCGGUAGUUGCGUUCUCCCCUAAGCUUUACAAAGCUUUAGCCAUCUCCCAACGUGUCGUCCCCUGUAGGUCAGCGCAUCGGUGGCAAAUGAGCUUCUCACUCAGCUUUACAAAGUCUAGACGCACCUGACGUGGAUUCCCCUGUGGGUCAUCGACUCGGUAGUUGCGUUCCCUCCUAAGCUUUACAAAGCUUUAGCCAUCUCCCAACGUCUCAUCCCCUGUAGGUUAGCGCAUCGGUGGCAGAUGAACUUCUCACUCAGCUUUACAAAGUUUAGACGCACUUGACGCGGAGUCCCCUGUUGGUCAUCGCCUCGGUAGCUGUGUCUCUCCCUAAGCUUUACAAAGAUUUAGCCGUCUCCUAACGUACCGUCCUAUUGGCCAGCACAUCGGUUACAGAUAAGCUCCUUCCUUAGGCAAUAAUGAAGCUUUAGCGCGUCUGUCGAAGAUAUGUCCCGAUCUUCAUCUCUUUAGUGAACACCAAAAACCAACUCCCAAGCUCUCACAAAUCGCGGUUCCUAUCCUGAGACAAGCAUACCCGAUCGGAAAAACAAAUUCAUCCAUGAUAUAAAUAUUCAUGCCUGAACUUGGGGGGACCACUGUUACGCCCCUAUUUGAACCACUUUGAAAAGUCUGUCAUUGCGUUAUACGAGGUGUCCAACACCUAUUCGAAGUGGUUCCAAAGUGACUCCACCACUAAUGUUGGUGAGCUGCUAACGUGCUGCGAGACAUAAACAAUUCUACUUCCAACUGAAGCGUUCUUGCCUCUGACGUCGAAGCGCAAUUCACUCCAAGGAUCUACGUUAGAGGAUCCGCUGCCAAUUUCAGAAAGAGAUCUAUGUCAAGAUCCUUUCUACCCCCAAUGUUUAAUUGGUUUGACAUCUCCAUGGGCCUAGUUGAUGUGACGUAUCAACUUUAUGUCAACUGAACUCAGGAGAAGUUAUUACCCGCUCACUCUAUAGACGCGACUGAAUAACGCCUAUGAGCAGACGCCUCACACUGUCAAAUGUAUACACAUGUCCCACAUCUAACGGUUCUCCUCAACUAUAAAUACCCAAGGUUUGACAAGAGACAAAGGUAAUGAAACUCUUACAACUUAGCUCUCCAUGACAAGUAAAUAUAUAUUCUCCUCCCUACCCUUUUUGCACAACCUUGGCACUGUUUCGAUCACCAGAAGCAAACUUAACCGUCGGAGUGUAUGCGGCCGCCGCCACCCCACUGGUUCUAGCCGUGUGCAUCUGACCGUGCGUUGACUGUGCGCAAGGAGGAUUAAGUGGAGCAGCUAUCGGUUAGCCACGUGGAGGGUCCAAUUCGCGAGGUCAACAAUAAUUAUAAUAUCAUCUUCACUUAUAAACAUCAAACUAUCAAGAGUAAUUGACAAAUAAAUUAUGUAUUUUAGUGCUCAAAAUACCAUAAUGUUUGAUAACUAUGGUGACUAUCAAACAACGUUAAUCGAACAUUAAUUACAUAAACAAAAUAUUUAUCUAAAUAUUCAUCAAAACUUUUGAAUAUAUCACCUUUCAUCCCAAUUAAUUCUUGUAAAAUAAUUACCACCUAAUGUUUAUUAGUGAUUGAAGAUUAAUAAACAAGGUAAGGAAAGUACAAACCUCACCUCGAGGCUGGAGCCGCGGAUAAGCUAAUGGAUUAGGCCAAUUCUUAUAAUUUAUGGAUUAGCACGCGGGUUCCAUUCCAAUGCAUUAGGCUAGUUGUUUUAUUAAACUUGCAUUUUGAAUGAUUAAUAAUGACGAACGAGAAAACACAGCCGAAAUACUGGACUUUGAAUGGCUGUCUCUUUGCUUUCCAGCCAAUUGCGGUAACCUGAUUAACUUAAUGGAUUUCAUCAAGCAGAAAAUCGCUGUCGUGGAUAAAUGGGAAUGGAAUAAGUAUAAAACAUUAAUCUUUAAGGGACAUUGGCUCUGAUAGUACAUGUAAGCAAUUAACCCAAAUACCAAGAUCUUAGAAUUUUAUGAUUUUCAUGAUCAUUGAUCUGUGACAAUUAAUUGAAGAUUUAGACCUACAAAAAUAAGAGAAACAAGAAAAUAAGAAACGAUUCUCCCUUCUCCUCUCUAUAAUUUAAUGUAUUAAUUGAUGAGUUUUUUUCACGUUUAUAGACAGAGAGACAGUUUCAUGGGCUAUUAAAAUAACAAUCCACUUUCCAUCAAAGUGGACAAUUAUAAAACUGUUACUUCUCAAUCAGCCAAUUUGAUUUUUGUAAUAAAUGAACCACUUUAAUUAAUGGAAAAAUUUCAUAACUAAGAGGUUAAGUAUCACCAUUUCAAAACCAAGAACAAAUAUUUCAAAUUUCAAAAAUCACUUUUUUAUUAAAAUUUACUUAUGAUUUAAUUAAUCAUAUAUUUUAUUAAUUUAAUAUAUUAAGGUCCAAAUUUAUACAAUUUGAUCACAAAUUAACGAUUUAGUUAAUCAUAUACUAUUUUUCGAUCACGAAUCAAACAUUUCAUAUAUCACAAUUUGUUCAUCAAUCACAAAUAAAAAAAUUAAGUUACAAUUUAUUUAUUAGUCAUAAAUCAUAAAUUUUAUAAGUCAUAAUUUAUUAUACAGUAAAAAAUUAUCAAAUUAGUAAUCACAAAUUAACAAAAUUUUAGGUCACAAAUUAUUUGUUUGACACAAUUUAUCCUUUUAAUUGGUCACACAUUAUUUAUUGUUCACGAAUUAGUCAAUUUAAUGGUUCUAAUCAACCAAAUCAUUUGGGACCACCACUAAUACUUGUGACUACCACCUCACAACUGUCGUCAGUCGCAACGCCAUCAAAACUGCCACGCACCAGAACCACCACCACCACCACACCCACAACAUCACAGUAAUGCCAUCGCCACUGUCACACCCACAACAUCAUAGAACCACCACCGCUAUACCUACAGCAUCACAGUACUCACCACACCACCACCGCCAUCUUAACCAUUCAAACAAACCAACACCAACUACCAAAAACCACCACUAUUUCACAUAAUUAUCGUUAACUACCACAGUCAUCUCACUCAUAGCCACUAACAAAGUCAGCACCUCACCACCAUCAUCACCUCAUUGUCAACACCACCACUACAAGCAGCACCACCACCAAAUACAUCAUCACUACAUCCCAUCUCGACAACCGCCUCCUCCAACAACCAACCACCACCACCACCUCCACCUCUACCCUUACUUGCAACUCCAAUCAACCACCUCAUCAUUACCACCAUUAUAUGCUAGAAUCCACCAUCAUACAACCACACCACAGCAACCGCCCUCACCAACGAAUUCUUCAAACCCGCAACAAUCACCUACAACACAACAAAAUCCCCAAACCCGCAACAAUCACCAAAAACAAGCCAAAACCCCGGUUGAGUACAGCGGCACAGAGAGUGACGUUGCGGCUUGGGAGUACUGCAGUAGUGAGGUGCUGCGAAUAGCGACUGUCACAGGUAGCGUGCAACUUCUGUCACAUAUAGAGAAUGGAGAAGAGAUGAGAGGAAAGGGGGAGAGAGAGAGAGAGAGAAGAGGUGGUGGUGCUGGCGGCACGUGGCGGUGACGACCGUGGGUAUUGUCUGCUUCUCACCGUGUAUAGAUGCUAGAGAGGCGGUCGGAAAUGAAAAGGGUAAAGAGAGAUUUGGGGGAUUGAAUUAGGGUUUGUUGCUAGGUGAAGUGAGUGUGGGAG